rnacentral:lncRNA from 1 species
UUGGAGAGAGAGAGGCGAAAGAAGAAAAGAGUCGGUAUCCCUCGAUAAGGUGAUUUUCUCUCCUUUCCUCUUUUCUACCUUAUCUCUUAUAUCAGUCUGUCUCUUCCCUUCUCUUUUCUCUCUCUUUAUCUCAACUUUUUCAUAAACGGCGGAAUCCAUCCUCCUCUUUGUUUUUCUCAUUCUUUUCUUAUUUCUUCUCCCUUCUCUUGUGGUCUCGCAUGACCACAACGCUUCACUUCCCUCUUCUUUGUGGUAUCUCAUGACCACAACUUUUUCCUCUCUUCCCUUGUGGUCUAGUAAGACCACAAUUCCUCCUUUUUCUCAUUCUUCUAUCUAUUUUUCUCAUUUUUUUAUCCCUGCAAGUCUACCAAGUCCAUGUGCACCCUCAGAUCUACCUCCUACUCAGAUAGGCUCUCACGUCUAACUUCCCGAUUUGUUCUUUGUACCUUCCUUUUACUCUUUUUGGUGCCCCUUGGCGUCUCUUCUUUUUCUUUCACAUUCCAUAGUCCUCUGCGACCACCAUUCCCCAAAUCUUCAUAACCUAUAGCCAUUUGUGCAAAUUUCAACCUAGCACCGGCUGUGCGCUCAUUCAAUCCCUUACUAUCGCUUGCUGUUCGCUCAUCCAACCUCUUCUUAUCGCUGGCUGUGCGCUUAUCCAACCUCUUCCUAUGGCCGGCUGUGCGCUCUUCCUCCACCUUGCUGAACAACGCCGCACGCUCUCACCUUUCAUCGCCUUGCACCAUAACCGAGCUCUUUACCUCUGCUCCUACCUCAACCAUCUCAACCUCUCUCUAAUCAGUCACCAACUCUCUAAAACUUUCGCACUUGUACCUAUCUGCGGUUCACGCAGCUCUCCCCCUGUGCUCCCCAUCUUUCGCCCUCAUCUUAACCUCACUGCUGCCUCUAUCCUUCCCAUCCCCACUACUCAUCGCUGCCACUAGUAGCCAAACGCACUCUUCUCUCCUUCACCUCCAUUACCUACAACCAGGCUUCCCCUCUUCCUGGCCAUUCUCGCACCAGGCAGCAGACUGCUAUACCCUCGCCAUCUCCUCCAUCGACACCUCCUUCCCAGCUCCUGUGCCCCACCUCCUUCUCAGCCCCUGUGCACCAUCCCCGCUCUCGGCCAUCCUCCAUCUUCUUCUUUACUUCAAUCAGGCAACGACCCACUCAGUUGCGUCUCAGCUCUCUUCUCCGUCAUCACCUCUUUCCCAUUCAAAUUGCAGCGACGACCUUUCUCCCGGCCAGCAACCUCCCCUCUCUUUCGACCUUGGCUGCACCUAUCUCUUUUCUUUCUCUCCCAGUGACACCAAACUGCCGCCACUGCUCUCUCCUCAAUUAAACCCCUCUCCACUAACUGUUACACUUCACUCCACCAAAAAUCAGGCAGCAGCCUCGCUGCCGCGCCAUAUAACCAAAUGCUCAACCUUCAGCAUCUCUCCCCUGCUGCCAUCUCUCUGAACCUUCACUCGGCUGCUCUCUCCCUCCUCUUCUCUGCAGCCUAGCUCGUCACCUGCCUGCAACCUUUAUCUCCAACUCACGCAGCCGCAAUCAAGCCCCGACCUGGUUGCUGUGACCACCACUUACCUGCAACUUCGGCCCAUUGUUCCUCGCCUCCUGCUCUUCUUUUCUUCACCACCAUCACCGCACACCACAGCUGCAACCAGCCACCAUUCUCAAACCUCCUCAUUGCUCGCUGCCCUCUUUCUCCGUCUUUUCCACUUUCUGCAACUCCCCCAUUCCCUCGCUGCAUUUUCUCUCUCUAAAACUAAAAGGAAAAAAACCCACAAAGCAAAACGCCUGUUUCCUUUUCUUAUUUCGUUUCUUUUUCGUUGAUUUCACUUCGUUCCUUUUUUUUUUUUUAGUUUCGUGAUACUUUCGUUCUGUCCUUUUUCUUCUCACUCAAAACCCAAAACCCGGUAACCCAACAAUUUUAUUGUAAUUUAUUUCAUGCCAUUUUCGUUUAUGCCAUUUAUUUUUAUCUUAUAUUCAUUUACCUUAUUCUAUUUAUUCCACUAAUCUUAUUUUAAUUUAUCUUUAUCUUUUUAUUUUAUUUAUCUAUUUAUUUUAUUUUUCUCACCUCAAUCACUUCAUUUCAUUUUCUUUUAUUUUAUUUUACUUUAUUUAUUUUAUUCCACUUAUUUUAUCCAACGAUCCCUUACUCUAUUUUUAUUCAUUUGUUUUAUUUUAAUCAUUUCAUUUUAAUUUAUUUUCUCCCAUCCUUUUUAUUUUACUAAUUUAUUUCACUUCACUUUAUUCUAUUUUAAUCCUAAUUCCAUUGUCUAAUUUUAUUUUAUUUUAAUUCAUCUCUCUCAUUAUUUCAUCCAGUAACAAGCUGGGGACCUUGCCCCACUUGUCGGUACUUUUAAUAUGCGUGUGUAUGUGUUUGCAGGAAAAGAUAAACAGGUCAAGAGAGGCGAUUCCAAACCACCCAUAGGCCAGGGGGGCUUUUCAACGUGAUCUAUGAGGGCGCCCACGUGAGCAAACCCGAGCGUGUCACAGACUCAUAUGAGGUAAGUCUCGCUUCACGACCUUAAAUUCCUCUCUAAUUAGUUGGUAAUAUAUGCCCUUGUUCUUGAAUAAGGUUCUCGAGAGAUCGAUCUCAAAUACCGUGUUCCCUUGCAACCCGAGAUACGUGUCGCCCGAUUAUCCUGAUUCAGACGAUGAGAUCGAGGCACCUAACCACACUCCCCAUACUACUUCACCACCCCGAACCUCUAUGCUUAGAGGCUCGACCCAUCGAGGGGGAGAUCAUGCGGCCUCCACCUCUCGCACACACCCGAAGGCUCAGGGUCCGACCACUCGACCCACACCUCGAGGCAACUUUCAUGUGGCCAUGAGUUCACGUCGAAGGCUAGGCCUUCCCGGUUCGAACCUUGCACGCGACAUGCAUCUGCAUCCCACAACUCGGGGGAACGCCAAUUCUGUGCCCACUCGAGCACAUGAAGGUCGACCACUGCGUCCUCCCUCUCAACACACAUGGCUUCACCCUGUGAGAGAUGGGCUCCUUUCCGAUCCCUCACAGACACAAGCUCAUAGGUCUCGGCCUCCUAAGGUUGAACCAGCUGAUCGAGCCCAGGCUGACCCCCAAGUUGCUCGGAUGGCUACCUCCAAAGGUGCACAUGCACCAAUUUCACAGGUUCCUCCUCGAUCCCGACCAAGCAGAGUUGCAAGCCAGUUCCUUCUUCUGUCUCUCUUCCUUCGCCAGGCAAACACCUCGAGACCUGGUACUCAAAGGUUUUCCCUAAGAGUACCAUCUUGAGUCAGCCAUCCCAAGUCAGUCAUGCACUCGGACCUCACAAGGGAAUUCGAGGCAAAGGCCUGAUGGCAAAUAGAAGCCUAUAAACUCCAAGGUAGUAGCCCAGAUUGACCUCUAUCCUGGGACCUCAUUAUCUGCUCCAGCUGAUAGACACAGUCGUCGCAUGCUCAAGAAAGACAAGACAGUCCAAGUCUCUGGCUCGAUUCUGGACUGAAAUCUAUUGUAGUCUUAAGAUCAAGAAGACGAGAGGCAUGCAGCUCUUGACGAGAGAGACUCCUAAGGCAGUCAAAGUUACCACUCUUGAUGACCUCCUGCCUCACAACUCAUUCUUCCCUCUUCGGAUUCUAGAACCUAAGCAAGAAGUCCAAGAUUGCUUGGUGGUUACCGUCACAGGAAAAGAUCGAGCUGCCAAGAAGUCACGGUCCCAAGACCAUCAAGAACCGGUCCUCACACGGUCGGCGUACAAGGCUCGAGUCCAAUCGGGGCAUGCUGAGCCCCUACAGACCGACUUGCCACGUACGACUCGCAAGCCCUGGUAGUCCACGACUCCACCUGGCUCUGAUCUUCCAAACAAAACGGUCAGCGUCAUGGUGAUCAACGAGCCGGAUGAUGCCCAAGAAGAGAGGAUGAACAGAAUCGAGGUGAUGAUGCAAUCCAUUCUGGAAAAGAUGGAUCGCCUAGAGGCCUCCAGGUCCCCUGCUUCCCUUCCUCGCCAUGAGGCCAAUUCCCAGCCUAGAGAGGACACAGCUCCCGGGCAAACUCCCCCACUGGCCUCCCAGGACAGCUCUGCUCCCGAUAUGGUUUCACAAACUGACAUAGAUGCCAUGGUGACCCACAGUCUCAAGAAUAAGGUCUCAGGCAUGCAAGGGGCACCGCUUUACCAAAAUCCAUACCCCUCGUAUAUUGACCAGGUGUCGUUUCCCCCAAACUAUCAAAAAGGGAAGCUCCUCUCGUUCAAUGGUACGACGUCCCUGCACCAGAAUACCGCUCACUUCCAAACUGCUUGUCGAGAGACGGCAACUGGCGGACGACUCCUCCUUCAUCAGUUCGUCAAAACUCUCGAAAGGUCAGCCUUCUAGUGGUAUGCUCGGCUACGUCCAAGCUCGGUGCACACAUGGCAAGAAAUAGAGCAGUUGUUUUAUCAACAAUUCUAUGAAGUCCAGAGAAAUGUGAAAAUCAUUGAGCUCCUCACUCUGACUCAAGCUGGUGAGCCAGUCAAUAAAUUCAUCACCCGAUGGAGAGAGUUGGCAACCUAUCAUGCCACUCUCAUGACUGAAAGAGAAGCAAUUCAGACCUGCAUAUGAAAUAUGCUGCCCGAGAUUGCCCUGCUUGUUGAAGCCUCCAAUCCACCCUCCAUAUCAAAGCUCAUUGGUUAGCUAUCUUGAUCUCGCACUCCGGAUUCAGGUGAUUGGGUGGUAUGUGUCUCGAGUCUCUGGUGGACCUUUUACUUGAGAUCGCUGUCUCAGAACCUUGCUCGAGGGCAGGGAAGGUAUACCAACCAAUGAGAGAGGAAUUUUAAGUGGAUUCGGGACUUAUUUAGGCUGGCUCGCGUGGGCGCCCUCUUAGAUCAUGAAGAAGGACCUCAGCUGCUUGAGUUGGUUCAGAAUUGCUUCCAUUGACCUGUAAUCCUCCUGUUUUUCUGCACAACACUUCAACGGUUAUUUUGUAAGACAAGUGGGUCGAAAAGAACCCACCCUUGACUUGGGGUAAUGCAUAAUCAUGGGAGAAGGCAAUGAAGUGCAAGGUUAGACGAAAGGUAAAUAGGAGAAGAGAACUUGACGGAAGGACGAGACUAGCACGACGGCCAGAAGUUGUCGACUCGGAGUGGUAACGUGACGGGCAUGGUUCAAGGACCAGCACGGCGGUAAUACUACUCGGAACCGAAGUCAGCUCUAAGCUAGGCCUACCCCAAUCAAGUGAGAAGCGCAAGAGGUGGAGAGGAAAGAACGAGACGACGAAGAGAAGGGGAAAUCCGAACGUCAAUAGACAUUGUUUUGGGCAAUGCAAGGAGGCAGUGCAUCCCUUGUGGACGGCGCUGGCUCCUGACAAGGCACACGAUGAUGGUUUCUCUUAGGUCGCAUGGAGAUAGCCGUGAGACGCUGGGGGAACAACGAUAGCCACAGGACGCGUGGAGGAAUCUCACAAAUGGUGACGGGUAUUGUCAGGGCCUCUAGCGAACGAUGAUAGGUAUCGCCGUCUACGCUAGAUGCAUAGCAAAGGAAGACUCAUGCAAGCAGAAACACAAUUCGCCAUCUAAGUUCUUCAUCAAGAGAUCAAAGCUACAUCUGUAGGCAACGAUGGGCAGCACCAUCUCCAGACUUCACUGAGAGAAAGAGACAGACGAGAAGGAGGGGAGGGAGACUCGCGCAUGGUGCUGUCAUUGCCAUACGCAACCUAUGAGACCAAGGGAGAGGCAUGCACGGUACUGCCACUACCUUACAGGCCUCCACGAGGGACUCAGACAAAGAAGAGGGAUCAUAGAGUGGAGAAGGGAGAGAGAAGAAGAAAAGAAAAAGAAGAGAGACAAGAUUUACCUCAAUCCUAAGGGUACCGAUUGAAAGUUUCUCUCUCCUCACCCUCUCUCUCAAGCGUAACACCACAAUGGUAAGAAAGAAAAACUUGUAUUAAGUGAAAAUUCUCUCGUGUGUGUGUGUAUGUGUAUGCCUUCUCUUUUCUACAUACAAUGAUGGUACAUAUAUAUAGCAGUGUGCCCCAAGCAUGGGUGGAUGAUCAAAAGUAACCCUAAUUGCUGAAAAUUAAGAUUAAAUUGAUUUAAAAAAAAUUAGAAAAUAGGAUACAAAAUGAUAGAUUUGCCCCUUCCUAACAAGUUGUGGAAUUUUAUAACAGUCCCUGUGUUGCCCUAGGACUUGCAUGUUCUUGCAUGGCCAAUCUGAGGUCGUUCUAAUGCCCAGUUGAUCGUAAGAUGAUUUUUUUCUUAUAAGGCUCGGCUUGGUGAUCAAUUUGAUACCAACUUCGAGCAAUAGUGUUUUUAGUGCACGAUCAUGUGACUUGAAUUUUGAGUAGAUCUUGAAACUUCGAAUCAAUAGUGUGUUUGUUUUUUGGUGUUUUCCUGUGUUUUCUUCAUUGAAUCACACUAAGCAUGCCCCUACGAUCACAGGGCACCAAACACAGCUCAAUUCUGUGACCGAACAAAGAUUUUACAAGUUUGGAAUUUUGGCCAGAAUCAAGGAUUCUGAUGAUGGAAUUUGCAGUUUUUUCAUCAUCUUCAUGUGCAGAAUCCGACCGUUGAUCAUGUACGGGGUUCAGGUCAAAGAUGGCCCGAGACCUUAAGCCCACAAUGGAAUUGGUCUCGUGUUGAUCGGGCUCAUGAGCAGUAUGAUUUGGCCGCUUGAGCAAGGCAUGACGCUGCUGAGUUUACUGCACUUUCUUCACGGAUCAGCAACUUCUCUCUAGUUUUUCUUCAUGCUUGGGUAUCAUCACGAGGCGUGCCAUAUAUCGAAUCGCUCGUCUUGACUAGACGAACAUGCUCACCAAAUUUGAGCACGAUCCGAUCUGGGACGGUUGAGAUAUAAGCGUCGAAAGCCACUAGUCGUGACUGUCCCUUUAAUGGUGUAGUGUUGUAGGGUGGCCGCAUGGGAAUAGCGUGCGGCUCCUCCUAUUUUACUCUUUCACCUAUAACAUUUUUCUGGAGUGUCCGUUUGGGCUGAAACUUAACCCCUAUAGGUUUUCAACCGUGUCGGAUCCAAUGGUGAUGGUCCUACAGUAAUUUGAGAUGCUGAAAAGGUAGCUCUAGUUAUAGGGUGCAAGAGGUUGAUUCUGCCGGAACUGUUUCUCAGUCUACACUGCCUUAAACACGUCAAAAUGCGAAGAAACUUGACAUGAGACUUUUGAGAGACCUCAUGAAGAUCCUGGAUAGUUCUAGGGCUGUUUUGAGACUAUCAAAAUUUCCACUAUUUUUUAGGCCUUUAUUUUAGUGGGGGCUUCAUGUUGAUGAAAAAUACCUUCCAAUAGCAUGCCUCACUGAAUGUUGUGCUUCGAGAGAAUCGAGAAGUGCAAUCAUUUAGGAAGUUUGAUGGAUCUUCGUAGAGUCCACACCCUCAAGAGACGAUCUGUGGUUAUAGAGCAUGAGGCCUUUGUCAAGACCUCCUAGUAUAGAACCGGGCCUUUUUUUUUUGAAGGCCAAAUGCUAUGAACCUCUGGUCGGAACUGCUGCUACACCAUGUUUUCCUUUGAUGUGCUGGGUAUCCCUAUAGGUCCCGUCUAGUGGAGUCCAAUCGUGGGCUUCUGGCCCUCCUGAAAGUCUGGUCCCCUGCUAGCUAGAGGGCUUUAGCGAGAUGUACCCUGAAUCCUAUGGCAACCAUGGCCUUGUUAGUAUCUGUCCUUUGUAAUGGACCUUAGCAUUUAUGGAGGGAUCUUUUCAUCAUCAUCCUUACCCUCAAGGACUCUCUAUGGUUCUGGAGCAUGAGGCCUUUGUCAGGACCUCCUUGUACAAAACCAGACGUUUUUUGAAGGCCAAAUGCUAUGAAGCCUCUGGUCGGCACUGUUGCUACACCAGGUUUGCCUUUGAUGUGCAGGGUAUCCCUGUAGGUCCCAUCUAGCGGAGUCUAAUCGGGGUCUUUUGGUCUGCUCGAAAUUCUGGUCCCCUGUUGGCUAGAGGGCUUUGGCGAGACGUACCCUGAAUUCUGUGGCAACCCUGGCCCUGUUAGUCUCUUGCCUUCGUAAUAGCCCUUAGCAUUUCUGGAGGUGGAGGGAUCUUUUCGUCAUCGUCCUCACCCUCAAGGACUCUUUGUGGUUAUGGAGCAUGAGGCCUUUGUCAGGACCUCCUCGUACAGAACUAGGCUUGUUUUUGAAGGCCAAAUGCUACAAACCUCUGGUCGGCACUAUGGCUACACUAGGUUUUCCUUUGAUGUGCAGGGUAUCCCUGUAGGUCCCGUCUAGCAGAGUCCAAUCAGGGGCUUCAAGCCCGCCUGAAAUUUUGGUCCCCAGCUGGCUAGAGGGCUUUGGCGAUACGUGCCCUGAAUCCUAUGGUAACCCUGGCCUUGUCAGUCUCUUGCCUUCGUAAUGGCCCUUAGCAUUUCUAGAGGGAUAUUUUUGUCAUCGUCCUCACCCUCAUGGGCUCUUGUUUUUGCUGAACUGGGGAGACCUUAUGAGGCUUUCACUCCCUGACGAGCCGUUGAAACUGGGGAGAUCUUGUGAGGCUCUCACUCCCUGACGAGCCAUUCAAACUGAGGAGAUCUUAUGAGGCUCUCACUCCCUAACAAGCCAUGAUUGUUGAGCUGUCGGCUGAGACUGUUGAAGUGCAUCAACCUACUUUAUCGGUCCAAGCACCCUUUCAUGGGUUUUCACUUGAACAAGGGAAGUGGCACCGUGAAGACGGUUUUCACGAACUUUCGUUAUUUCUGGGCUCUUUUACCCAUGACUUUGUGGUCAUGUCCACCCUUUUCAUCCAUUUUUACUCACGGUGCCCUUUUGGGGUUUUCACUGUGCUUGGGUUUAUUUUUCCACGGAACUCUCUUACUCAUGGUUUUGUGACCAUGCCCGUCCGUCAUUUUUCUCUUGGCGUUCCCUUGUCCAAGUGUGCACCAUGCCCGUUUUUUUUUUAGAGAAUACAUGUUUUAAGGUCGUGCCUUCGAGACCUAUGCGAAGCCUUUUAAUAUCAUGCGGCUAGGACGUGCACUAUAGUUUUAGGGUCAUAAAGCUGGACCAUAACGGCAAGGAGUGGCAGUCUGUAGAGGCCAUAGAGUGAGUUUGGGGGUGACUUUGCUUCAUUUUGGAAGGUGGCAUGAAGUUGCAUGUAGAGAGUUGAUUGGAUGAUAGGUGAAAAGUGGUGACCCAUUAGCUGGCGAUGAGAUGUCUCGCCGUUUGGUGAGCAUGGUUAAGAUUUUGGGGAAUGAAAUGAAAGAUGGUGAAGGUGGCCCGCACACAUGAAUGGGUCAGCUUAGGAAGACGUGUGUUGCGAUGCAUGUAAAGGGUGUGUGUGCACACGUAGACUCACUAGAGAGGCAAUGGAAGUGGUGUAGGUGGCCCGCGCAUAAGAAUGGGCCGGCUGGGGAAGACGUACAUGGUGAUGCAUGUAAAGGGCGUGUGGGCCUAGGUAGGCUAACUGGAGAGAAGAAGAAGAUGGUAUGUGCGCACCAAUGGGCUAGUUAGGGAAGACGUGUGUGGUGAUGCAUGCAAAAAGGGGGGUGUACGCGCACAUGGCACAUCUUUAAGGUCGUGCCUUCUGGACCGGGGUAAAGCAGUUUAAUGUCAUGCGGUCAGGACGUGCAUUAUGGUUUAAGGUCAUAUAGCUUGGACCAUGGUUAUGCAGUUUAAAGUCAUGCAACUAGGACCGUAAAGUUUAAGGUCGUGCGACAGUUUAUGGUCAUAUAGUUUGGACCGUGGCUAUGCAGUUUAAGGUCAUGCAGCAUGGACCGUGUAUGAGUCGCCAUGUCAGUAGGGUUGCAUGGGGGUAGGUAUGUGGAUAGCAAUUUGACUCCCUAGAGAUAAAGAUAGUUAAGGCUAUCCACAUGUGAAGAGACGUAGAUGGAGGUGGUGACCUACGAGGGGUAGUUAACGGGAAAGGCUUCACUGGGGAUUAGGAGGGCCAGUGUGACUCCAUGGGGAUAAUGAAUAUCGGUGUGCAUGGAACUCCGAGAGGCCAGGGCAUGGAUGAACCCCCCCUCGUGGGUUGAAGGAAGAACGUCUCUAACUCUCUGGAGAUGACGGGAUGAAUACAACCCUUACAUGCAUCUAAAUCCAUUGGGGGUCCAGUUGGAGUUAUGCCUAUGGACCAUUUGGCGCAUUGCACUUUACAAUUUUAGGGUCUUGUAGCUCGGACCAUGGAUGAGCAGUUUAAAGUCAUACGGCUAGGACCAUACAGUUUGUGGUUGUGCAACUAGACCUCCACUACAGUUUAGGGUCAUAUAGUUUGGACUGUGGUGCUAAGCCUUUUGACGUCAUGCGACCAUGACGUGCAUUAUAGUUUAAGGUUACACAGCUGGACCAUGGUCGUAAGUUUAAAGUCAUGUGAUAAGGACUUUGCAGUUUGAGGUCGUGCAACUAGACCUCCGCUAUAGUUUAAGGUCAUACAGUUCGAAUCGUAGUCAUACAGUUUUGAGUCGUGAGACAAGGACUAUGGCGAUGCAGUUUUAAGGUAUUAAGGUCAUGCAGCGUGGACCAUGGUGAUGCAGUUUAAGGUCAUGCAGAGUGGACCAUGACUGUUCAGUUUAAAGUCAUAAGCUAGGACCAUGGCGAUGUAGUUUAAGGUCAUGCAGCGUGGACCAUAGCUGUGCAGUUUAAGUCAUACAGCUAGGACCAUGGCGAUGCAGUUUAAGGUCAUGCAACGCAGACCAUGGCGAUGUAGUUUAAGGUCAUGCAGAGCCAACCCUGGCUAUGCAGUUUGAAGUCAUACAACUAGGACCAUGGCUGUGCAGUUUAAAGUCAUACAGUUAGGACCAUGGUGAUGCAUUUUAAGGUCAUGCAGUGCGAACCAUGGCUGUGCAGUUUAAAGUCAUAGAGCGAAAACCAUAAAGAUGGAGGGAAUAGAGUCAUUACCAGAAAUUGGGCUCACUGAGGGUCGAGGUUGUGGUGUAGGGAAUGAAAUUCUUGAGGAUAUGGGACGAUGGUCCGGAGGGGAGCGUCAGGCCUGCGUAUGACGCUAAGUACAGCAUUAGACCUGGAUGAUGGCGUGAAGUGUGGUAGUAGCCCUUGGCCAGACGCAAGGUGGUAACUCCUUAACGGGGGGCACGACAAUCGCCUCUUGACGAAGCGUUCAGUGGUAGUCCCUGGAUGAGACGCGUGGUGAAAAUCUUCUUAACAAAGCGCGUGACACUAGUCCCCUAGACUAAGUCCUAAUGAGGCGCUCAGUGAUUCUUCUUCGAGUCUCAGGCUUGGCUGCCUCAGCUCGACCUUAUCACCAUCAACAGCUAGGAACUGGAGCAUCAUUCUGAGUUUGUGGGGGGGGGGCAGUCCUAGGUACUGCGGGGUGUAAAAGGGGGGAGAGACCCCACAUUACAUUUUUAUUGAAGGGUAAAACAGUAGAAGGGCUUUUUUGUUUUAGAGAGAAAGAGAGCCAAAGCUCCUAACGAGGGUUCCCGUGUGAGUUGCUGACUUAUCCCAAGGGACUGUGAAGCCCAAGAUCUCAUCAUUUGCAAGUGUGGAGGGGGCCCACCUCUGGGCCCUAAAAGUCUGACCCCUGAGGAUGUCCUGUCUCUACAUCUCCUACAACUAUAACACAUGGGGCAGCAACUUCCUGCUGCUUGGGUGGCUCCUCUUCAUUCCCUGGGGCACUAGCCUCUUUUAUGAUCGCAAGCUCUACCGGGGCUUCCCUUUCCUCGAUAGGCAUAGCAACCUCCAGAGCUUCAGCAUCCCUCUUCGUCUGAGCCGCCCCAUCAAGGUCGGCUUCAUCAGCCCCGCUCAUCUCCAUCGGGACUGGGUCCUCCCCUUCAGCUUCGGACGUUACUUCUUGGUCCGAAGCAAUUUCAAUCAGUGCAGUGGGAUCUGAGGCACCAGCAUGAGUCUCUGAAGAGCCAGAGGAGGAAGACUCCUCAAGAGCAGAAGGUGAUGCAGAAAUAGUAGGAGACACGUAUGACUUCGAAGAAGCAGCAGGCGAAGAGCCAUCUUCCGGCUCCCGAACCAUUGGACGCUUGAGCCCUUACGCUUCGAAGCCUGACGAGCAGGUGCACGAGGAACGGUCAGGGCAGCCCACUUCCUCUUCUUCCCCUUCGCUUGAGAGGGGUGCAGCAGUCUCAGAAGCACCCCCUCAAGAAGGGCCAGCAGCAUGCUUGUUGUAUCAACUUAUUCAAAUCCUGGACCGGGCGCCCUUCACACCCUGGAACCUUGCAGCCCUCCAUCCAUUUGAAGAUAGCAGAGAGGUUGUCAAAAAUUCUUUGUCUUCUUCUCCAUAUUGAGAAACCAUGGCAAAGACUUGUCUGCGGCAAUCUAGCAAGGCCGCCCAACGACACGCUAGUUCUAGGGGAAGCUCAGGGUGAAUAUCUCCCCCAAUGGAGGAUUCAUCGUCACUUUCCUCUGUCGUGUGUUCUAGCUCCAGUAGGUGUUAUCCCCUUUCCAAGGGUGGUCGGCCUCCCAAUACCCCUUACUAGUGAUUCGCCACCAGAGUUCGUGGGCCUCGGUUGCUCGCACUACUCUGCCAAAAUAUGGCAGCACGUACUUGUUGACCACUGUAAACUCCAAGCACGUGGCCCAAGCUGUGUAAAUGUGCCUCAAGAGCCAGGUCUCACGAUGGGUCCCUAGCUGGUCUUUCUUCAUGUGGCUAACUUUGCUAUGCCGCUUCUGAAAUAACACCGAGAAUGGACACCCUUGGUCUAGCCCGUGCUGUCGAGAAAAUCAAUGAGGGAAAUACCCCUCAAGCUUGACACUAUGAAUGGUACAGUAAGGUAGCACCCCGCCUUUGACACUCAGCCUAUACAUCAACUCCUUAUGGGUGGUAGGAGCAUCAUUAUCAUUCAGGCUCUUGCCCAGCUCAUCGGCAAAAGCACGAUCUAUGAGGUUCCCAACCAGGAAGGCCGGUCUACUCAUAUGAAGAUGGUCAUUGUAGAGCAAGUUACAAGCAUGACCAAGAGUGUGGAAGAUUGCUUUCUGCCAGCAAUCAUCGGAAAAAACAGGCACAUUGUCUCAUCCAACACCCUAUUUAUGAGGUAGGUGUUGGGGAAAUAAAGCCCGAGCCAGCCAUACACAUAGUGGAUGGGAAAAAGCAUCUUGAAGUCCUCUAGGAAGGCUUCGCCAUCCACUAUGUUGUUCCCUCCUUCGUCGCCUUGAUACAUUUUUCCUCUAGACAUGGCUCUCAAGCCAUAAUAGAUGUUGCAUACGACCGGUUGUGUGAGCACGUACUCUCUCCCCCUUGCCAUGUCACAAGCUACAUAGAACGUGCUUGGAUGUAUAAUGUAUGCUUCUUCGGGAAGAGCAAACUUACACCAAAAGAGCACCAGGUACGCCGCCAAGAAGUUGUGGUCAUUCCCGCGGUGACGCUCAAAUACUAGAGGAGUUCCCUUCAUGGAUUCCUUCCCCUUUCUUCAUGGGCUUGGGCCAGCGUCAUCAUCAAAGUCCCCAUAGAAGAACGCCACCCACUGGGUGAAGGAGACGUGUCCUUUCUUGGACUCAAGCCGAGCAGUUUCUAAAUCCCGAACAACUCUUGCAAUCCUGCUGGUGGGUCUUCUUUCCCUACCCGUUCACCUCCAAAAAUGACUGAGUUUGGGGGCACGAACGGUGGGAUACUAUUCAAUAGCACCUUGACCGUCUUUGAACAACGGUCAUAGUAUCCCAUUGAGCACUAAACGGUGGCCAGCUGGGAAGUGCACUUCAGAAUAUCCCUGUAUCGACUCAGCACCCUUACAGUCCAGGAUGAAUACCCAUUCAGAUACUCGUGCUCCCCUCACACUCGGAGACCAGCAGAAGACCACUUCAGGCCCGGGGUCUUCACCAUUCUUUUGCCUAGGGUUGGCAAAUCCCCACCUAAGGCUAUAUUUCUAUGCAAGCAGUGAAGGAGGCCUACCCCUUCUUCUAGUCUUACAAUCUCGUCGCCGUCUUCUCUAACCUCAAAGCGAACAGGGUCACUAGCAAAGGUGACACUCAAAGGCCACCUUGGUUCACUCAAAGCCUUGGUGAGCCAGAUUGGCUCACCCCUCACCAAGCUUUCACCGGUGAAUUCAUUUGUGCCAAGCUCCCCUACUCGUGGGAGGUUCUUCACAUCUGGGAUGGCUCCUGAAGGUUGGGCCAUGAAGACUAGAACAAAGGCUUCACUACCGCGUGCAAGUCACUAAGAGUCUGCCUUAUCGCCAUGCACAGAAGGCAGAGCUAUCGCCGACUGUGUAAGGCUUCCACAAAAUGCUAAGGCGUAGCACCGACUGCCUUCGCAAGGGAGUAUCGUCGGCUGGUCACUAAAGGCAUAAAGCCGACUGCUCUUAUAAGGAGGCUAUCAUCGUGCACAUAAGGUAGGGCUAUCGCCGUCUCAUGACCAAGGAGGCUAUCGUCAUGCCCAAAAGGCAAGGCUAUCGUCAUCUCACAACUAAGGGUUUAUCACCAUCUGAAAGCAGAAGAAUUGCAUAAAGACUGGGAUGAAGAGUGGGCUAAUGUCGUCUAUGUUUAACACCUGUGCUCCAGCUAUUUGCAUGCGUCACAUGUGUGGCACACCACGUCCCUUGAAAUCUGGGCACGCCGCCUGACACUCGCAGUGUAGCCUGUCACCCUGGGUAUGCAGGGUGACUGUUCGCCAUCCCACGGUCCUUCACCUCCCCGACCGUUGCAGCCUCACGAUGCCUCGGGUUCUCACCGGUGUUUCCUCUCCUCGCCGGGAACUCACUCCUACUCUCCAGGAAACCCUUCCCCACCAUUUCCCUCUCUUCCACCGGUGAUCGAAGCUAACAAACAAUAACUGGAAUUCCCAUAGAACCUGCGGGUUUCCCUUCUCCCUUCUUUGCACGCCUCAACUCGCCGAAAUUUCACUGUGUUUUCGGUGAGCCCACUGCUGCUCCUCCUUCUUCUCCGUCAGAGUCCCCUGACCUCUCUGCAACCUGCAAGAAACCACAGAAUGACCGAAAGAUCACUGGAACUCUGGCAAAGUACCACUGCGACCCUUGCAACUUUGCCAGAGUCUCGAUGAAUCCUUGUGAAGCUUCAUGUUCCCUGCUCAAAAGGUCUCAGCACUCUCUGAAGAAGUUCGCAAGCGCUUUGCGAAGGCUCACGACUCGCUGAAGUUUGCUGAAGAACUCUUCAAUGCCUGCACACUAUGAGUUUUGGCCUGGAAACUCUUGCCAAAAGUCUCUUGACGGAAGCCCCAGCUCUCUCUAAAAACUCUCUUCACUAUUUUACCCUUAGGUAAAAUAGUAUAAUGGGGUUUUACUCCCUUUUAUACUCAGUUGUGCCGCGAAGGGCCCCUCACAAGUUCGAAAUAAUGCUUCAAUCCUCAUUUUCAAACAGCGAUAGAUCCAGCUCAAGGCAGCUCAAAGCCCGAUGCCUGAAUACGAAUCGUUGCCGCCUGUGCCUCAUGAAACUACUACCAUCUGUUACUAUCACUAUGCCUUAUCGUCGUGUAUCCUUCGAAGGCCAUCGUCGUGUGCUUCACCAGAAGCUAUCAUCGUGCACUUCACAAAGGGUUAUCGUCGCGCGCUUCAUGAAGUGUUAUCGUCGUGCACCUCACCAAAGUCUUAAACGUUGUGCGCUUCACCAAGAAGCUAUCAUUGUGCGCUUUGUCAAGAAGCUAACGUUGUGUGCUUCGCGAAGACCUAACGUCGUGCGUGCUUCACAAGAGGUAAACUCCAUGUGCAUUAUCCACAGGCCUAACGUUGUGCGCACGUCAUCCGGGCCUAACGUCGUGUCCGUCAUCCAAAACUUAGCACCAUGCGCAUACUAUGUCACUCCCACUUGGACCAUCGUUCUGCAUCCUCAGGGAGUUCAUUCCCUGCACCGCACUCCUCACUCCUCAGGGAGUUGAGUCUCCAAUUAUGGCUCUAUUCCCCAUGGAGUCACAUGCUCUUUCCAUCUAAAUGGUCUACAUGCAUGACCUAAACUAUAUGGUCCAAAUUAUAUGACCUUAAACUGUAGUGGAGGUCUAGUUGCACUACCUUAAACUGCACAGUCCUCGUUGCAUGACUCUAAACUACAUAACCAUGGUCAAGAUGUAUGACCUUUAACUGCAGUACACCCCCUAGUUGCAUGACAUUAAAAGGCUUAGCACCAUGGUCCAAACUAUAUGACCAUAAACUGUAGCGGAGGUCUAGUUGCACAACCUUAAACUGCAUGGUCCUAGUUGCAAGACUUUAAACUUCAUAGCCAUGGUCCAAGCAACAAGACUUUAAAAUUAUAGCGCACGCCCCUGUAGCAAGACGUUAAAAUGACGUGACAAAUAAUCCAUGCGCAUGACUUUAAUCUGUGAAAAGGAUGCACCUCCCACAUCCCUAGUAGGAGCCACAUCCGUAUAGCGGCCCAUUAUCCCCAAUGGAGUUAGGGUCAUUCUUAUCUCUUCAAUCCCCGAUAGGGUUCCACCUGUGCUCCAGCCUUUCAUUUUCAGCGGAGUUACAUGCAUAAUAUUGUUCAUUAGCCCCGUGGAGUCAUGCUUAUCCCUUCAAUCCCCUUAAGUUAGUCGCGCUCCAAAUUAUCCUAUUCUCAGGAGUUGGGUUACUUUCCCAUGAGCCAUGGAGUUCAUCUUUCACCUUAGGGAGUCAUACUUGUCUUACAAUCCCCAAUGAAAUUACAAUCCCCAAAGAAAUUUACCUCGCCAUUUAAACCUCUUGCUAUUUUUAACCAUUUUUAUCCCCAAGGGAGUCGGAUUGCUAUCCACAUACCUAUUCCCCAUUGAGAAUCGCCUACAUGGCAACUCUCCUUAACGGUCUAGGUGCACGACCAUAAACUGCAUGGUCCAAACUAUAUGACCUUAAACUGUAGUGGAGGUCUAGUUGCAUGACCUUAAACUGCACAGUCCUCAUUGCAUGACUCUUAAAUUACAUAACCAUGGUCCAGUUGCAUGACCUUAAAUUGUAGUGCACGUCCUAGCCGCAUGACGUUAAAAGGAUUAGUAAAAUUGUCCAAACUAUAUGACCUUAAAAUGUAGCAGAGGUCUAGUUGCACAACCUUAAACUGUAUGGUCCCAUGGGCAUGACUUUAAAUUGCAUAACCACGGUCCAAGCUAUAUGACCUGAAACCAUAAUGCGCAUCCUGGCCGUGUGACGUUAAACUGCUUUGCCUAGGUCUCGGAGGCAUGACCUUAAUACGUGCAUCUUCACUCAUGUCUUCCCUAAUCGACCCGUUCGUGUGCAAGCACCACCUUCAUCAUUUCCCCAGUGAAUCCAUUCACUUUAUCAUUACAUUCAUCAUUCCCCAAUGAAUCUCACCCAUGCUCACAAAAUGGCAAACCAUCCUGCCAUCCAUACUUGUCGUAAGCUAGUGGGUCACCACUUUUUAUCUUCCAUUCAUACGUCUUCCACUUUUCAUAGGUAGCCUCGUACCAUCUCCCCAAAGUGAGUCAAAACCACCACCACAAUCACUCUAUGGCCUCUACAGAUUGUUAUCUAUCCCCACCAUGGUCUAGCUGUAUGACCUUAAACUAUAGUGUACAUCCUGGCCGCAUGACGCUAAAGGGCUUCGCACAGGUCCCGAAGGCAUGACCUUAAACACUCCUUCACACAAAUAAAUAAAUAAAUAAUAAUAAAAUAACGGGCAUGGUGUAUACCUGAACAAGGAAACGUCAUGAGUAAAAAUGAUGGAUGGGCAUAGUCAUGAAACCAUGAGUAAAAGAUUUUCGUGAAAAUAAAAACCCAGGCAUGAUGAAAAUCCCAAAGGGGCUCCGUGAGCAAAAACAGAUGAAAUGGGUGGACAUGACCGUAAGGUCAUGGGUAAAAGAACCCAAAAAGAAAGUAGGUUGGUGAAAACCGUCUUUACAAUGCCACUUCCCCAGUCCAAGCGAAAACCUGCAAAGGGCGCUUGGACCAAUAAAGCAAGUUGACACAGCAUCACAACCUCAGCCAGCACCCAAUUGCCAAACAGGCACAAUUUUGGCUAAUGAGGUCUACUCAAAAUCCUCAGCUACCAGCAUCCAAUCACAACACAAAAUGGCUCACCCGGGAGUAAGAGCUUCACAAGAUCUUCCAAACUUCAACAUCAAAAUCAAAAAGGGUCCCUAAGGGUGUGGGCGAUGAACAAUUAAUCCCUCAAAAUCCAAAAGAUUCCCUGAGGGUGGGGGCAAUGAACAAUUGAUCCCUCCAAAAUAAAAAAGAGUCCCUGAGGGUGCGGGCGAUGCACAAUAAAUCCCCUAAAAUCAAAAAGAGUCCUUGAGGGUGAGGACGAUGAUCAAAAGAUCCCUCCAAAAUGCUAAAGACACUCAUGAAGGCAAGAAACUGACAAAGGGCAGAACCUACCAGAGACUUCUGGGUGAUGCCUCGCCAUGCGGCUGCCUCGCCAAAAUCCCUCCCUAGCUGACAGUUCCAAACUUUCGGGACAUGUCAACAAAAAGCCCCCGACUAGACCCAGCAGGAUGAGGACCCACCAAGGUAGCUUGAUUGUCAAAAGCUAACCGGGUGUAAUAGCAAAUGACACCGACCGAAGGCUCAUAGCACUUGGCCGCCAGAUAGGCCUAAUUCUGACCAACGAGGUCUAAACAAAAUCCUCAGCUGCCAGAAUCACAAAUAGUCCCUUAAGACUGAGGACUUCUACAUGAUCCCUCAAAGUCUCUUCUCCCCUUAAAGUCUCCACGAAUGGACCUGUACAUUGCAUCCAAACAUUUGAGCAUCCUAGUUACGGCAUUGGGUAGAUCUCCUCGACGUUCACGUGGUCCUGUGGCUAGGAAAAAAAAGGAAAUAAAGCUAGUGGAAAUUUUUUUAAUGUUGUCCUUCUCGCUUCUCUUGAAGCACAACAUUCGGCUGGGCAUGCUGUUUGAAGACAUUUUUCAAUAUUAUGGAUCUCUGAUGCAGAAUAAAAGGAGAAGCCGAUCAAUAAAACCUGACAGAUAAUGAAAAUUUUGACAAUCUCAUAAUGGCCCCAUAAUAGGUCAAGAUCUUCAUAAGGAUUUCAAAAAGUUUCCUUCCAAGUUUUGUCACGAUCCGACAUCUUUAAGGCAGUGCAGACUGAGAAACAGUUCCGACAGAAUCAACCUCUAGCACCCUGAAACAAACUCCUAUACCUGGAACCCUACUUUUGGAGCAUCACACAGUUGUGAGAUCACCGCCUUUGGAUACGGCACGAUUAAAAACCCUCAAAAGUUAAAUUUCAGCUUAAACGAACACUUCAUGAAGAAGUGAUGGGUGGAAGACCGAAACAGGAGAGCCGUACACUAUUCCUAUGCGGCCACCCUGCAAGUAAUCUCCAUUAAAGGGACAGUCAUGAACAGUGACUUUCGGGGUCCAUACUUCAUUCGUCCCCAGUUAGAUCGUGCUCAAAUUUUGUGGACGUAUUCGUCUCGUCAAGACAGCCGUUUCGAUAUGUGGCAUGCCCCUUGACAACAUUCGAGCACAAAGAAAAGCUAGGGAGAAGUUGCUGAUCCAGGAAGAAAGUAGUAGGAAAAUCAGCAGCGACACGCCUCACAUGAGUUGCCAAAUCACGGCGCUUGAGAACCCGAUCAACAUGAAAGAAAUUGCAUCGCGUGCAUAAGAUCCAUGGCUAUCACUGGUCCGAACCCGACGCAUGAUAAAUGAUCAGAUUUUGCACAAAAAUCUGAUGAAAUGGCCGAAAAUUUGGGCACCAGAAUUCCAGAUUCCGGCCAAAACUCAAAAGUUGUAAAAUCUUCGUUCGAGCAGGAAAUCGAGCUGUGUGUUGUCAUGCGACCGUAACAGCAUGCUCAGUGUGAUCCAGUGAAAAAAUAACAGAAAAACAUCAAGAAACGAGCACACUAUAUAUCUGAAGUUUGCAAGAUUCAUUUAAAUUUCAAAUCGCAUGAUAGUAGCUUAAAAACAUGAUCCAUGGCUCGAAGUUGGUAUCAAAUCGAUCGCCAUACUGAGCCCUAUAAAAAAACAAUCAUCUUUCAAACAAAUAGGCACUAGAGCAACCUCGAAUCAUCCAUGAAAGAUAACGCACAUUCUAGGGCAGUGGCAAGGACUGUUUUGGAAUUUUCCCAAUUGUUAGAAAGGGGCAAAUCAGUCAUUUUUCACCCUAUUUUAUUUAAUUCAAUUAAAUCUUAAUUUUCAGCAAUUAGGUUUAAUUUUUAUCAAUCCACCCAUGUUUGGGCAAAACUCCAUAUAUAUCAUGUACUAUCAUUAUACAUGGAGUGAACUUUGCUUGAUAAAAUUUCCAUCUCCUAUUAUUGUUGGGUCAAGUUUUGAGAGAGACAUGAAGGAGAAAGAAACUUUUAGGUCGAUACCCUUGAGCUUAAGGUACAUCUCUUUCUCUCUCUUCUCUUCUUUCCUCUCUUCUCUCUUCUUCUCUUUCUUCUCUUUCGUCUGAGUUUUUCUUAGAAGCCAUGCAUAGCAGUGGCAGUGUCGUGCAUGCCUCUUCCUUUCUUUCUGUUCCUGUGGUUUUGCAUGUCAUGCAUGGCAAUGGCAGCGCCAUGCAUGAGUUUUUUUCCCCCUCUCUUCAUUCAUCUUUAUCUCUCAACGAAGUUCACAGAUGACGCUGCUCAUCAUUGUCCGCAUGCGUAUCCUCGGUGUCCCGCUUAAGCGCAGAUGGCGAUGACUAUUGCCGCUUCCAGGGGUUUCAUCCUGAUGCGCAGACAACGAUGCCUAUCGCCACCCGCGAAGGGUCACGACGAUACCUAUCAUUGUCUGUGAGCUUCUCUCUCACACCCUGUGCCUAUCACAGACAGCGAUGCCUAUCGCCACCCGUGAAGGGUCGCAAAAAUGCGUAUGGCUGUCUGUAGGCUUCUUUUACAUGCUCGAUGCCUAUCACCAUCCUCGAGCUUCGUUCGUGUGUUCGGUGCCUAUCGCCGUCUGCAGGCUUCUCUCAGGUCCCACGCUUAUUGUCGUGCGCUUCACAAGAAAGCUAUUGUGGCCUGGGGAGGGAUGUGUUGUCUUUUCGUGUCGCAACGCUGUUUGAAGUUCGCUGCCUGCCCCCUUUCAUCGUGAGCAGUAAUGUCCAACACUGUCUAGGGCCACAACACUGUUACUCCAUGGCCAUAGCGAUCUUAACACUGUCGAGAUCCUCCCUCUUCGCCGUCUCACACCUUCUCUUCAUUCUCUUUUCUUCUCUUUUCUCCUCAUUAUUGCUUGACUAAAAGACAGACUCAGUUUAGCAAUAUCAUAGUGAUCUGGCUAUCCAGCAGUAGUACCAUAGUGCUUGUCCUUAGUACCAUGCCCGUCUUGAUGCCACACCAGAUUAAGCCAGUCAUAUUGACCUUGGUUUCGAGUAGUAUUGUUGUCGUGUAGGUCUAAGUUACCGUGCCCAUCUUGCUACCACUCCGAGUUAGUCACCAUAUUGGUCCGGCUAUCGUGCUAGUCUCGUCCCCUUAUCAAGUCGUCUUCUCUUUUUUUUUCUUUGUUUGAACCUACUUCUUCAUCACCAUAACUUCUUAUCUUCUCUGCCAUGUGAAUGUGCAUUGCCCUAAGACAAGGGUGGGUCCUUCGACCCACUUGUCUUGCAAGUUAACCAUGAUAGUGUUGUUCAGAAAACAAGGCGAUUACAGGUCAAGGGAGGUGAUUUCGAACCAACGGAGGCAGCUUGGGGGCUUUCUAUAGUGAUCUAAGAGGGUGCCCGUGCAAGUCAGCCCGAGUAAGUCACGAACCCAGGUGAGGUUAGUCCCCACCUCACGAAUAAAAUUCCUCUCUCACUAAUUGGGAACCUGCCCUUGUUCUGUGAACAAGGUCCUCGAGAGAAAUCUCAGGUCGCGGGUCUUCCGAACCCAAGACAUAUGUCACCCGAUCACCUUGAUACGAGGAGGCGAGAUCAAGGCAUCUGACCACCUACCUGGACUUUUUCCACAACCACAGCUUCAAAGCCCUAACAUUAGUUCAGUUCGUGGCCCCAUAUCUGAUGGUAUGGGCACUAGUAAUUCUCGGUCCCUUGAGCAAGGUGUUUGGGCUGCCUUGCCAGCUGGGGAGUGACAAGCCCUUAUUGGUGCAUCACCUCAAACAGGGUUAGAAGGGGAUCCGAAUUAUCAUUUCGAAGUCUUGAGUCAAGGGGUCCUCUUGUACCAAUGGAGGAGAGGUUUGGGGAUCUCUGUCUGGGACGUCACCAACUUCUUGGCCUUUCUGCAUUUUCUUCGCUAAUAACUCGUGGAAGUUAGAGCAUUCGCUCAAGUCAUGCCCCGAUAUCUUAUGAUAUGGGCAUCAUAGACCCUUGGCUCCUUGAGUCUGGUGUUUGGGUUGUCUUGCUAGUUUUGCCAUGAUGAGGCCUUCUUAAAGCAUCAUGGCAAACAUGGCACAAAGGAUGAUGGGUGCCUCAUCUUCAUACUGAACUGUCACUGUGUGGGAUGCUUCUGCUGUCCUGAAUGCUUUCUUGAGUUCUUUAAGCUUGAUCUAACACUUUUUAAUUAGAGCCACGAUGAGAUCUUUAAGUGUGUAGCAUUUUUUUGUGGAGUGAUUUAUCAUUUGAUGAUAAGCGUAGUAUCUUGCGUGCGUGUCAAGACCAGCUUGAUCAGGGAACUUGACCUCGGGCAGCUCGAUCAUGUUCUGUCCCAGCAAUAGUCAGAGCAGUGCAGGAACCCAUUCCUUUUCAAAAGGAUAAACCUUGUUCUGAUGUCUGGUGAAAUAGUCAUCUCGAAUAAGGUUUGCAGGGGGGGUACCCGGUUGUACAACGACUGUUGUUUGCCUAUCUAAGGUGUUGUCUUUGUUGUGCUUACCCCUUUGGAAAGGUCCAAAGUCUGAGAGGUAGCUUUUUUUGAAUCACUGACGGUAACGACUGCACUGAUCACCCCCUUUUGUUGGUUGCCCCGGGCGUUGAUACGAGAAGUACCAUUGCCCCAGUUGUUUCUCGAGCUUAAGGACUAUUGUCGUGACCCACCAUGCUGGCGUGACAGACUCUCUAUGCGAAUUGACUUAGAGAUCAGCUCUGACAUGGAGGUCGGGUUGAAGGAGCAAUUUCAGGUCGCAGGUUUCGUACACAAGUUUGAACUGCUUCCUUCUCAAGCAUGGUAUUGGGAUGACGAGCAGCCAAAUCUCUCCACCUUACUAUGAAUUGAUCUACAGGUUCAUCUGGAUCUUGGGUCAAAGUGAGAAGCUAGAUGGUUUGAACCUCUCUCUCAACCUCAUAGAGGCGUUAGUGGAACAGUUUCUCUAUUUGCUCUCAAGUAUGUACUAAGUUUGUGGGAAGUCGAGCAUACCACUGAAAAGCCGGGCCAUCAAGGGUUACAACAAACUGAUGGAGUAGGAGUCUCCCACCAGUGCUGUCUCUCGACAUGCUGCUUGGAAAUGGGCAAUAUGCUGGUGCGGGGAUGUGGUAUCAUUGAACAAGGGAAACUUCUCUUUUUUGUAAUAUGAGGGAAACAACUCCUGGUCAAUGUAUGAAGGGUACGGCUUUUGAUAAAGUGUUGUACCCUGUAUUCCCAAGAUUUGUCUGUCCUUUAGGUUGUGAGUCACCAUAGCUGCUUGUGAGACAGGGUGAGGGAUAGAAUUAUCCUGUGAGGCAGAAGGAGUAGGCUGCCUUGGAGGUGUAUCAUCUGAAUGAUGGGAGUUGACCUCAUGGUUAGCCGAAUGUCGCGCGGCAUCUAUGUGAUCAAUCUUCUCCAUCAUUGCAUGCACAUGUCUUCGAACUUAUUCAUGAGCUCUUCCUGCGAGUCAGGUUCAUUUAUAACCAUUAUGCUGACUGUUUCUCCAGGGAGGUCAGCCUUAUUGCAUUUGAGGGCUUCCGAGCUUGAUGGGUUGCACGUGGCAAAUCGGUCAGCAAGGGGUCAACAUGCCUCGACUGGACUUGACUCUUGUAUACCGAGUUUGUGAGGACCGGUUCUUGACGGUCUUGGGACCGUGGCUGCUGGGUGGUCGGAUCGUUUUCUAUGAUGCUGAUCAUGAUGGAGGAUUCUCACACCUCUUCUUCAAUCUUUAUGAUUUGAAGAGGGUGGAAGGGAUUUUGAGGGAGGAGACCCUUGGAGCUGAGUGUCAUGACUUUCUUGGUCGGCUCCUAAAUCAGAAUCUACAGUCCUCUAUCUUACUUGAGCUUUAAACUGCAAUAGACAUCUCCGAAACUAAGACUGGGGUUGAGGUUGACCCGCUUUCUUAGAGCAUGAGAGGGCAAUGUCCAUGAAAUGGCCCAGCGAAUGUUGACCUUGGACAGGGGCCUGCUUGAGCUGCUGCCUUGAAAGUUGAAGAACUUCAUCAAUCAGCAGGGCUUUUCCCCGAGCUCCUUUGUGGGCUCCAGAGGCAUAGCAAACCGGAUGAGGCUGGCUGAGGAUGGUACUCUUAGGGAAAACCUUCGAGUAUCAUGUCUUGAGAUGUCCGUCAGGAGGAGAAAGGGCGGAAGGAGAGGGGACCGGCUCUCGAUGUUGUCUGGGUCAGGAGAAAGCGGUGAUCUGGGAAGGUGGCACUUGUACGGCCCUUGAAGUAGCAUUCCGGGUGACUUGGGGGUCAGCCCUAGCUCGAACAGGUGGUCUAACCUCAGGAAGCUAAGAACUGCGAGCACAUGUAUGUAAGGGAACAGGUCGCAGCCUGCUCCUUACAGGGUGUGCAUGUGUGUGUUGAGUGGGAGGACGAAGGGAUCGUCUCUUAUGUGCUUGGGUUGGCACAGAAAUGGAGUUGGCCUGAGCAGUGGGAUCCAUAUGCAUGCGCACAGGUUUCGACCCAAAGAGGCCUGGUCCUGAACGCUUACUCAAGGUAGCACAAGGGCUGCCCCAAGGUGUGACUUGAGUGGAUGACCCACAAGCCUUAGUGUGUGAGCGUGCGGUGGAGGCCCCAUGGUCUCCUCCUCGAUGUGUCGCGUCUCUAAUCACAGAGACUCGUGGUGGUGCAGGAAUGUGGGGGGUGGCCUUAUGGCGACCCACAGGAGAUAUGGCAAUUUGCUUGCCUUUUGUAGAAAGGGACUGGGCAACCUUCCCUCAUACCUCGGCAAUACGAUCGACAAGUGACUUGUCGAUGACAUGGUGCAUGCUGUGAGUGACAGCAAAUGUGCUACCAAUGCAGGGUGCCUUGGUGAAAGUUCCACCAGGGCGAAGAGAUGGGGAAUUAGGGACUUCUAAGUCCCUCCUCACGUGUAUCCAGGUUAGAACCUGGGAGCUAGACACUGGGUUUUUGCUCAAAUAGAAGGUUGGGAAUGAAGUUCGAGGAACUUGUUCUCAGGGGAAUUUCGUGAAUGCGGGGAUCAAAAAAUCCCCGAUUCGGAUCAACAGGUUGAAGAACCCAGAAGCCAUAUGGUGUGUGAAACAGAAAAAGAAAGGAGAAACUAGCCAAACAAGGACGAUCCGACUAAAGGGUGGUAAGUCCCCAGUGGAGCUGCUAAGCAAGUUAGGUGCCUCAAUCUCACCCUCCGGAUCCGGAUUACCUGGCGGCGCGUGUCUCAGGUUUCAGGGGAACCCGGUACUUUUGAGAUCGCUCUCUCGGGAACCUCGCUCAGGAGCGAGGGAAAGUGUACCAACUGAUGAGAGAAGAAUUUAAGGUGGGUUUGGGACUUGCUUGGGCUAGCUUAUGUGGGCACCCUCUUAGAUAAUAAAGAAAGCUCCUCAGUCCUACAACUGGCUCGAAAUCGCCUCUCUUGGCCUGUAUUCUCCUGUUUCUGCAAUCACACACACAUGGUUAAUUUUUCAAGACAAAUGGGCUGAGUGACCCCACUUUGUCCUUGGGUGAAUGUACACAAGGCACGCACAUUCAAAGAGGAAAAGAGAAGAGAUUAUGAGAAGAGGAUUGGGAGAAGGAAAAAGAGAGAAGAAGAAAAAAAAGAGACACUUGACAAGGUAACUAGCCUAGCACAGUGGCUAGAUUGGCAUGAUGAUCGACCUGACGUGGUAGAAAGAUGGGCACGGUAACGAGACCAACACGACGGCAGUACUACUCGACGAUAGAACACUAACACCGAUCCCCUUGGCACAAUGGCUAGUUCAACGUGGCAGCAAGACGAGCGUGGUAACUCAGACUAGCACGAUGGCAAUACUGCAUGACGACGAAACUACCGUGACAGUGCCAGACUUGUCCCUUAGUCAAAUGAGAGAUGAAGGAGAGGAAGAAAGAGGGAGAUAAGGGAUGAGAAUAACAGAGAGAGAAAGACAGAGAGGAGAGAAGAGAGAGGAGAGAAAAGAAGAGAGAGAAAGGAAGAGAGAAAAGAAGAGAGGGAGGUUAAGGAAGAUGAAAAGGAGAAAUAGGAGAGAGAAAAGAAGACAGGGAAAGAAGAGAGAGAAAGAACAUGAACGGCGAUGGACUUCUGCAUCCAUAAUGGAGGAAAGAGGAAGAAGAAAGGAAAGUAGAGAGAGAAUAAAGGAAAGAGAGAUGGCAAAGGAAAGUGAGGAGAGAAGAAAGGAAAGAAGAGAUGGCAAAGGAAAGUGACGAGAGAAAUUAAGAAAGAGCUGGAGGAGAAAGAAGGAAAGAGAGAGAAAGAGAUUAGGAAAGAGGAAAGAGGAGAGGAAAGAGAUACGCACGGCACUACCACUGUCAUGGAUGUCAGGGACGACAGAAUAAGAACAGAGGUACACACGGUGUUGCCACCGCCAUGGGUGUCAGAGGAAGAAGAAAACAGAGAGAGAGAUCUAUCCACGGCGUUGCCAUCGCAGUGCAUGUUCAAACAGAGAGAGACAAAGAAGAAAGAAGGACAAGAGGAAGAAGAAGAAGAGAAAGAACGAGAUGCACACGGCAUUGCCAUCACCGUGUGUGUGAGACAGAGAAAACAGAGAGAAAAGAGAACACACACGGUGUUGCCAUCGCCGUGUGUAUGAGAGAUAGAGAAGAGAGAGGAAAAGGCACACUACGUUGCCAUCGUCGUGAGAUAGGGAAGAUAGAGAGAGAAGAGAAUGCACACGACAUUGUCAUCACUAUGUGUGAGAUAGAGAAAAAGAGAGAGAAGAAUGCACAGGACGUUACCAUCACCGUGAGAGAGAGAAAAUAGAGAGAUAAGAGAACGCCAUGAUCAGUCUUCAAGCACUCGACCUUCUUUUAGGUCUAUAUUUCGAUUAUAGUUUUUCAAUGCUUGAAUGUGUUAAAUACAUCUGUCUUUUCUUUAAUGCGUAAGUCCACACCUUCUUUGAUAAAUCAUCUAUGAAGGAAACAAAGUAUAGAUAUCCAUCUUUUGAGAUAACUGAUGUAGGGCCCCAUACAUCUAAAUGAAUACAGUCAAGAAUGCCUUCUCUUGUAUAUUCUGACGUGCGAAAUUGCACCCUAUACUGCUUAUCAUAGACAUGGUGCUCACAGAAGUCCAACUUGUACUUCUUCAUGCCAUUGAUCAAUUGACGUUGGCUAAGUUCUGUCAAACCUCUCUCACACAUGUGGCCCAACUAUAUAUGACACAACUGAGUCAAGUCAAAAUCACCAUCAUUAGAUAUGGAAACUUCUGCUCUAUCUGGGACAAUAUUAUCAAGCAGCACAUAUAAAUUUUGUCUGAGCUUCUUACCUUUCAUCACAGCCAGAGCACCUUUUAGAUUUUUUAGAACCCUUUUCCAACAAAUUUGCAGCCAUUAGAGUCUAAGUCACCUAAAGAGAAAAGAUUCUUCUUGAAAUUUGAAACAUGUCUAACAUCAAUCAAGGUUCUCACAACUCCAUUAUACACCUUGAUAGUAAUUUUUUGAAUACCAAUGGUCUUGUACACUGUAUUAUUCCUCAUCAAAACUUGUUCACAUCAAUGCUCAUGUAUGUGGUGAACCAAUCCCGAUGAGGGUAUAUAAAAUAGGAAUAUCCUGAAUCAAGAACCCAUGUAUCUUUAGAGUAGUCACAACUUGUUGAGACUGCCAACACAUUAUCUGUUCCACUUACCGAGCUUCCAUCACUUAUAUUGGUUGUUUCAGAAGUUUGUCUUUCUUUGAGUUUCUAACAAUUCUUCUUGAUAAGUCUAUUUUUCUUGUAGUAAUAACAAUGAAUAUUACAUUUUACUGAUCUGGAUUUGGAUCUAGACCAACCUUGAUUUUCAUGUCCAUUUUCAUUCUCUCAACAGAUCUCCCUCUAGCCACUAAACUAUCUGCAUGUGAUCAAGCAUUCCACUAUCUAUUCCUCAACUCAUUAGAGAGAAGAGUCAAAGUCACUUUUCUUUAAAGCAAUGUUGUGAUAAGAUACUGAUAGUAUGAUGGAGUGAGUACAAUAAAAUUAUAUGCUUAUCAUCAUCAUUAUUUUAACACCAACAUUCAAUAAUUCACAAAUAAUUUAUUAAAAUGAUUCAAGUACUCGUGGAUAUAUGUACCUUCAUUCAUCCGUAGCGUACACAAUUUUGGCAUAAAAAACAAUGAUGGACUUCGACAUAUAAAAAAUCUCAAGCUUCGACUAAAGACUUGAUGCAGAUUCCUCAUUGACGAUAUUAAAUAGCAGUUUGCUUGAUAACCACAAUCGAAUAGUGCUUAUAGCCCUCAGAUUUAAGUUAUCCGACAUCGAUUCUAGUUUCUUCAACUUUUCUUUCAUAGCUUUAUGUAAACCUUGUAGCACUAGCAAAUCUCAAAUAUUUAUUUGCCAAAUUCCAAAAUUAUUUUGCCAUCAAAUUUCCCCACCUCGUACUUGUCAUUCGAAAUCUUUAUUGUCAUACCGACAACCUCAAACCAGGCUCUAAUACCACUUAUUGUCCGUGGAACCUUUAAACCCAAUGGGUAGAUUUUUGACAAAUAAAGUACGAGAAAAAUAUACAAACAAGCAAAAAAAAUAAAGCAGGAAAGAAAUAACAGAAAAAAAAACAUCAGAAUUUACGUGUUUCUUCACAGAUAUAACUACAUUCAUGGGCGAAGACGAUCGAUGUUGUUUCCCUAAUCAAUGAGAGAAAACUACAAGAGGUUCAUACCUGAGAGAUCCAAAGAAGAAACUCAAUCUCCCACAAUGCAACUCUAUAGAAAACCACAAAAGUUUCCCUUCUAUUCCUUAUAUUUUCUCUCUCUAUUGUACAACUUAAAUAGAGAAGAAACCCCCAAAUAAGAUCCCAUGUGAUGACGCAUAGUUUUCUUAACUUUAUGAAAAAGUAACUUUAUCCUAAUCAACUAUGUGGAUUCUCAUAUCUAUUCUCACCCAAUUAGGACUAACCCAAAAGAUAAUCAUCUUACAUAAUGGUAACUAUCCAAAAAAAUAGGAAACUUACGAAAACCAAUCUCUUAAAAUUAAGGACUGAAGAAAAAUUUCCUCCCCUUUUUUUAAAUUUUUUUAUUUUUUAAAAAUACCAUUGGUUUGGACUCUCAAAAUCCAAACUGAAACUAUUAACAAAUCAAUUUGAAAAAUGAAAUUCCGAACUGCAACUUUUUUGGAUUUUAAAACUCUGAAAUAGUUCAUUUGAGUUUUGGGAGAAGGCAUCGAGUUAAGUAGGUGAGGAAAGGGGAGAAAUUUAAAAAUUCUAAACCAACACUAAAAUAAACCGAUUUGAAAUUUCAAAAUUCGAAUUGAUCAAUUCACAAAAAACAAGUUCGGAUUUUGGAUUUCCAGAUCAUGUUGGUCAUAGUUUUGGUUUAGAUUUUGAAAGUCCCAACCUAUGGCAUUUGUAAAAAAUGAAAAAAAGAUAUAGAAAAUGGGAACAUAAGCAUAAAUUAUAGCAUACGGGGAAUAGAUUUUUAAUUAAAAAAAGAUAUUAAUAUAAAUUUUCUAAAUAAAUACUAUUUCUUUUUCCCACAUUAAAUAAAAAUGUAUUAGCCAAUUUUUUAACUGUUGGGCUUUGUGUUUCAAUGGUGGGAGGCACCAGAGCAUGAAAUGACCUAAAAUGGGGUUCUACUCCCUCUCCAUCCAUCCAUUGAUUGAAGAGCGAUCACCCUCACGACCACAUAUGCGUGCAAUAAUCGCUCAAGAGGAUUAUACGGUGAUGUAGAAUUACAGACCAUGUCAAAGGAAAAGUAUACUGCCUUUCGAAUCCAUGUAUGAUCACGAUGCUUUUAACCAGUGUUUCAAAACUUAGAUCAGUGGUGCGUAUUGUUCACCCAAAUAUCUGUGUCAGAUGAUCAGCGAUCAGCAACCGAGCCGGAAACCAUACCACCCUAGCACCAAUUAGAUCGACCGCUUCCUAUCUGAAUCGACUCAUCAGGUUUAAUAUGAUGUCCAAAUCAAUCAUUUUAGAUGUGCUUCAUGAGUUUGCUUCAGUUUGGUCUGAAAAUUGAAGCAAUUCGGUGCUUCGGUUGAUUCGGGAAAGACUUCGGGUUCUUUUUAAAUCAAAUUAUAUAUAUAUAUAUAUAUAUAUAUAUGUUUAUAAAAAAAUUUAAAAAUUAAAAAAAUUAAUAAUAAAUAAAUUUGUUACUAUGUUCUAACUAUUACCAUUGACAAACUAUAAUCACUAAAACAAUCCAGAAAAUAAAAAAUUAAAUAUGGUUAUAAUAUGCGAAAAACAAAAGAUGCUAAUAAACUAAACAAUGGCAAUGGAAAAAUAUUUGAUAAUUCUUCAUGAGUGAGUUUAUUAACACCCAUUUGACGACAAUGGCUUGAUGAGAUCGAUCCAUUUGACAACAUCCAUUUAUAAAAUGCAUAAAAAAAAUAGAUAUUAAAAAACUCAAAGAGUGGUAAUGAAAAAUAUUUGAUAAUUCUUCAUGAGUUGAGCUUAUUAACAUCCAUUUGACAUCAAUGGCUUGUUGAGAUAAAUCUAUUUGACAAUCUUUAUUUAUAAUAUGCAAAAAAAAAAUCAAAAAAAGUGAAUGUUAAUAAACCCAAUAAUGGUGAUGAAAAAAGAUGAUAAUUAUCCAUGAGUUAAGUUUAUUAAUAUCCAUUUGACAAUAGUGGCUUGAUGAGAUCAAUCCAUUUAUAAUAUAAAAUCAAGCAAUUGUACAAGAUGCACAAAUUUAAUUUUAAUUUGUGCAGAUUAAUGCAUAUGAAAUUUGGUUGCUACAAAAUUUUAAUUUUAUUUUUAUUUUUAUUUUUGUUGAUUUUUCUUUUAUUAUAAUUUUUGUUGAAUUUAUAUUUGGAGAUGUGAUAGAUAUUUGGGUUACUUUUUAGGAAUUAUAUUUAUUUUAGAAAUUAGGGUUACAUUUUGGUUUUUUAAAAAAUAUUCUUUUGAUUUUUUUUUCUAUAAUUGUAUCUUGUAUUUUUUUUUUUUUUUUACGAGGGUUAAUUUCUUAGAGAUAAGAUUAGUCUAGGGUUCUUUGGGUUAGUUUGAUAAGUCAUUUUUUUAUGAGUCUAUUUGUUUUUCUUUUGAAGGAUGAGUCUUUUUCACCUUGGUCUGAUGAGUCCAUUUAUAUUUAAGAUGUGUUGGUUCAAAAAGGAAGUAUUUUAUAAUUUUAGGAAGUUUAAACAUUCUCUUAGUAGGUCCCUAUUAUAAUUUUAGGAAGUUUAAACAUUCCCUUAGUAGGUCCCUCCUUUUACUUUUGGGUUGAGUUGGUUUUGUGUUUGACUUUAGAAGCUUGGCCUAGGAAGAUAAAGAUUCUUUUUAGAAAGAUAAGGACAGGAGGUGUGAAAAAUAAUGAUAAAAGGGGAAUGGACGUUAUACUGUAAUGGUGGCUUCUUUUUUUCAUGGAAUGAAAUAAGAUUACUUUAUAAAAAGAAAGAGGGAGCAUUUUUGUGGGUUUUUAUUUUUUGGGUUUUGGUGAUGCGCGGUGGAGGACUCAGACUGCUGCAUCUGUACUUUCUUUUUGCAGAUCUCUUAUCAGGUUUUUAUUUAUCUCUUUAAAAUGCAGGUAAUUUGCCGAUUAUUGCCAGUUGUAAUUUUCAAUUAUGUCAAUAAUUAAAUAAAAAAUAAAAUUAAAAUUAAAAUCAACAAAAAUAAAAUUAAAAUUUUGUGGCAACCAAAUCUUCAUCUGUAUUGUUGAUUUUACUUAUAGAGAUGUGGGUAGAUUUUUGAGUUGCCUUUUAAUAAUUAUAUUUUUUUUAGGAGUUAGGGUUACAUUUUUGUUUUUUUUGGAAAAUCUUCUUUUGUUAUUUUUUAUGUUAUGGUAUCUUAUAUUAUAAUUUUUUUAUUAGGGUUAAUUUGUUAGAGAUAAGAUUAGUCUAGGGUUCUUUGGGUUAGUUUGAUAAGUCCUUUUUUUUAUGAGUCCAUUUGUUUUUCUUUUGGAGGAUGAGUUUGUUUCACCUUGGUUCCAUUUAUAUUCAAGAUGUGUUGGUUCAAAAAGGAGUUAUCUUUUUAUUUUUAGGAAGUUUAAACAUUCUCUUUGUGGGUCCCUAUUUUUAAUUUGGGUUGAGUUGUUUUUAGGUAAGUUUGACUUCUUAGAAGCUUGACCUUAGAAGAUAAAUAAUCUUUGUAGAAAGAUAAGGACAAGAGGUGAGAGAUACAAUGAUAAAAAGGGGAUAGACGUAUAAUGGUGCCUUUUUUUAUGGACUGGAUUAAGGUUAUUUUGUAAAGAGAGUGUCUCAUUUUUGUUGGUUUUUCUUUUAUCCCAAGUCUGCACUUUCUUCUUGUAGAUCUCUUAACAGUUUUUUAUUUCUCUUUCUAAAACAUGGUUAUUUUCCUGGUUAUUGCCAAUUGAAAAUUUUCAACUGUGUCAAGAAUAAUAAAUAAAUUAAAAUUUAAAUAAAACCAACAAAAUUAAAAUUAAAAUUUUCUAGCAAACAGAUCUUCAUUUGCAUUGUUGAUUUUACUUUUAAAGAUGUUGAUAGAUUUUUGGGUUAAUUUUUAAUAAUUACAUUUAUUGUAGGAGUUAGGGUUACAUUUUGUUUUUUUUUUUGGAAAAUCUUCUUUUGUAUUUUUUUUUGUUACGUUAUCUUGUAUUUUUUAUUUUUAUUUUUAUUAGAGUUAAUUUUUUAGAGAUAAUCAAGACUUCUUUGGGUUAGUUUGAUAAGUAUUGGUUUUAUGAGUCCAUUUGUUUUUCUUUUGGAGGAUGAGUCUGUUCCACCUUGGUUUGAUGAGUCCAUUUACAUUUAAGGGGUGUUGGUUCAAAAAGGAUUUAUCUUAUUGUUUUUAGGAAGUUUAAACAUUCUCUAGAUAGGUCAGUACUUUUAGUUUUGGGUUGAGUUCCGUUCAGGCAAGUUUGAGUCAUUAGAAGCUUGGCCUUGAUACGAUUCUUUUUAGAAAGAUAAGGAUAGGUGUUUUGAGGUAUUUUUUAACACUUGAAUCCUCGAGGCGAAUAAGAGGAAGCCAAUCGCGACCUAGGCCGGCAGGUACCAAAAUGUCAGUAGGUCACGGAAGCACUAUUGAAAUAAACCCUAAUCUGGAGCACACUCUUGAAAAAGAAUAUAUUGGUCCUAAAAAGCAUGUGGAGGUAUCCCAUGACUCCCUAAGAAUACCCGCUAAGUUUCGUCGCGAUCUGACGACGUUAAGGUGGAUCAGAGACAAAAUCAAUUUUCAGAUUCAGCCUCUAACGUGCCAAAAAUGCAUCUUACAACUACAGCGCUAUCACUGGAGCUUCAGAUAAACACCAAACCACUUUUGUUGGGUUCAGAACCCCUAGAUAUCAAAUUUCUCUCUCUCCUUGUUCGUUCUCUUCUCCUCUCUCUUUCUCUUUCUUUCUUUUUCUCUCUCUUCUCUCCUCUCUCUCCCUCUUUCUUUCCCUCAUGGUCAAACUAGACCGGUGGCUAAGCCGUUGGCCUACCCUCUCUUCUCCCUUUCUCUCCUUCCUCCCCUUGGUUUCUCUCUCCUCUCUUCUCUCUUUCUCUCUCCCCUUGUUUUUUCUCUCUCCCCUUGUUCUUUCUCUUCUUCUCCUCUCUCUUUCGGUCCCUCUCUCUUUCUCCUCCCUUCUCUUUCUUUCUCUCUCUCUUUCUUCUCUCUCUCUUUCUUCUCUCUCUCCUCUCUCUCUCUCUCUCUCUCUCUCUCUCUCUCUCUCUCUCUACUCUACUACUACUACGUACGUACGUACGUACGUACGUCGUCGUCGUCUCUCUCUCUCUCUCUCUCUCUCUCUCUCUCUCUCUCUCUCUCUCUCUCUCUCUCUCUCUCUCUCUCUCUCUCUCUCUCUCUACACGUACGUACGUCGUACGUCGUCGACGUACCUCCUCUCUCUCUCUCUCUCUCUCUCUCUCUCUCUCUCUCUCUCUCUCUCUNNNNNNNNNNNNNNNNNNNNUCUCUCUUCUCUCCUCUCUCUCCUCUUCUUUCCUCAUGGUCAACUAGACCGUGGCUAGCCGUUGCUACCUCUCUCUCCUUCUCUCUUCCUCCCUUCGUUCUCUCUCUCUCUUCUCUCUUCUCUCUCCCUUGUUUUUCUCUCUCCCUUGUUCUUUCUCUUCUUCUCCUCUCUCUUCGGUCCUCUCUCUUCUCCUCCCUUCUCUUUCUUUCUCUCUCUCUUUCUUCUCUCUCUCUUUCUUCUCUCUCUCCCUCUCUCUCUUCCUCCUUUCUUCUCUCCUUUCUCUCUAUCAUUCGCUCUCACAAUCACCUAGACUAGUGGCUAAGCCGUCGGUCUGCUCUCUCUCUCCUUCUCUCUCUCCUUGUUCUCUCUUCUCCUCUCUUUUUCUCUCUCUUUCUUCCUCACUUCUCUCCCCUCUCUCCCUCUUUCUUUCUCUCACAGUCAAACAGGACCGGCGGUUAAGCUGUCAACCCACCCUCUCUUCUCUCUUUCUAUCUUUCUCUCCUUCCUCUCCUUUCUCUCGUACUCUCUCUCCUCUCUCUUUUCUCAUUCUGACUUUAUUUCUUCCCUUUUCUCUCUCUCCCCUUUUCUUUCUCUUCUUCACCUCUUUUUUUCUCUCCCUCUCUUUCUCCUCUAUUCUCUUUCUCCCUCUCUUCCUCUUCUCUUUUCUCUAUUUCUUCUCUUUCCCUCUCUCUCCUCCUUUCUUCUCUCCUCUCUCUCCUUCUCUCCCACAGUCAAUUGGACCAACGGUUAAGCCGUCGGUUCGCUCUCUCUUCCCUCCUCUCUCUCUCUCUUUGUUUUUUGUCUUCUCCUCUCUUUCUUUCUCUUUUUUCUCUCUUCUCUUCUCUUUCCUUUCUCCAUCUUUCUUUCUCUCACGGUUAAACUGAACCAAUGGUUAAGCUGUCGGCCCACCCUCUCUUCUCCCUUUUUUCAUUUCUCUCCCUCCUCCCCUUUUUCUCUCUCCUCUCUUUUCUCUUUCUCUCUCUAUUUCUUCCCUUCUCUCUCCCCUUGUUCUUUCUUUUCUUCUCCUCUCUUUCUCUCGCUCUCUCUUUCUCCUCCCUUCUCUUUCUUCUUCUCUCUCUCUUCUCUUCUCUCCCUCUCUUUCUUCUCUCUCUCUUUCUCUUCUCUCUCUUCUUCUCUCUNNNNNNNNNNNNNNNNNNNNNNNNNNNNNNNNNNNNNNNNNNNNNNNNNNNNNNNNNNNNNNNNNNNNNNNNNNNNNNNNNNNNNNNNNNNNNNNNNNNNNNNNNNNNNNNNNNNNNNNNNNNNNNNNNNNNNNNNNNNNNNNNNNNNNNNNNNNNNNNNNNNNNNNNNNNNNNNNNNNNNNNNNNNNNNNNNNNNNNNNNNNNNNNNNNNNNNNNNNNNNNNNNNNNNNNNNNNNNNNNNNNNNNNNNNNNNNNNNNNNNNNNNNNNNNNNNNNNNNNNNNNNNNNNNNNNNNNNNNNNNNNNNNNNNNNNNNNNNNNNNNNNNNNNNNNNNNNNNNNNNNNNNNNNNNNNNNNNNNNNNNNNNNNNNNNNNNNNNNNNNNNNNNNNNNNNNNNNNNNNNNNNNNNNNNNNNNNNNNNNNNNNNNNNNNNNNNNNNNNNNNNNNNNNNNNNNNNNNNNNNNNNNNNNNNNNNNNNNNNNNNNNNNNNNNNNNNNNNNNNNNNNNNNNNNNNNNNNNNNNNNNNNNNNNNNNNNNNNNNNNNNNNNNNNNNNNNNNNNNNNNNNNNNNNNNNNNNNNNNNNNNNNNNNNNNNNNNNNNNNNNNNNNNNNNNNNNNNNNNNNNNNNNNNNNNNNNNNNNNNNNNNNNNNNNNNNNNNNNNNNNNNNNNNNNNNNNNNNNNNNNNNNNNNNNNNNNNNNNNNNNNNNNNNNNNNNNNNNNNNNNNNNNNNNNNNNNNNNNNNNNNNNNNUCUCCUCCCUUCNCUUUCUUCUUCUCUCUCUCUUUCUCUUUCUCUCCCCUCUCUUUUCUUCUCUCUCUCUUUUCUCUUCUCUUCUCUUCUUCUCUCUCUUCUCUUCUCUCCUCUCUUCUUUCUCUCUCUUUCUCUUCUUCCUUCUUCUCUCCUCUUUUCUCACUUUCUCUCAUUCUCUCUCCUCUCUCUUUCUCUUCCUUUCUCUUUCUCCCCCUUCUCUUUCUUCCUCUCUCUUCUCUUCUCUUCCUCUCUUUCUCUUAUCUUCUCUCCCUCUUUUUUCUCCCUCUUCCUCCUUUCUUCUCACUUUCUCUCUUUCUUCUCUCCUUCUCUCUCCUCUCUCUUUCUCUCCCUUCUCUUUUCCCUCUCUCUCGUCUCUUCUCUCUAUCUCUUUUUUCUCUCUCUCGUCUCUUCUCUCCCUCUCUUUCUUCUCUCUCGCUCUCUCUCCCUCUCUCUCUUCCUCCUUUCUUUUAUCAUCUUUCUCCCACUUUCUCCCUUUGUUCACUCCUCUCUCGUUCUCUCCCUCUCUCUUUUUCCUCCCUUCUCUUUCUUCUUCUCUCUCUCUUCUCUUCUUUCUCUCUCCCUACUCUUUUCCGCCUUCUCCUUCUCUUCUCUCUUCGCCUUUUUUUCUACUUUACUUGUUCUCGUUUUACCUUCCACCUCAAACACUCUAAUAUACUCACUCAUUUGUUUAUUCAUAAACAAUAUCGCAUCACCUCAUUUCUUCUUUUUAUUUACCCCUCUACCAGGCAAGUCAGGGUCUUUCGACCCACUUGUCUGACAACCUUACGUGUGUGUGUUUACAAGUCGUAGAGUGCAAGUAAGGAGGCUAAAGCCGAACCAGCCUCAGGCUAGUCGUGAUCUAAGAGGGCACCUAAGCGAAAACCGCUUGCGCGUGUCACGGACCUACCAUGAGGUCAGUCCCGCCUCACACCACACAAUCCUCUCUCACUAGUUGGUACCUGCCCGCAUGCACGUCGCGGUCCCUAGAGAGUGAUCUCGAGCUGGACCCAAUUUUGUGUCCCCGCGCAGUCAUAUGACCCGACAAGAACGAGGCCUAACCAAUAGGAGGUGAGAGAAAUAAUGAUAAAAGGGGGAUGGACAUCUCAUUGUAAUAGUGGUUUGUUUUGUUUUUUUUUUUUUUUUUUUUAUGGAAUGAAAUAAGUUUAUUUUUAGAGAGAGAGAUAGAAAGAGAGCCCUUUUUGUAGCUUUUCUUUUCUGUGAUUUGGUGGUGCGUGGUGGAGGACUCAAACUUCCACAUCUAUGAUUUCUUCUUACAGAUCUCUUCUCAGUGUUUUAUCUCUCUCUAAGACAUGGUUAUUUUUCUCUCUGUUGGCGGCCUAAUAUUUUCAACUUUGUUAAGUGGUACCAGAGCAUCAAUCGAUUCUUGUAGAUCAUGGUGUUCAUCAAUAGGCAUCAUGGCUCGUGAAGAUAGUCUACGGCGAAGUACUGGGAAUGAGUCAACACAGCAAGAGCGAGUCCUUAAAGAUAUCGAGAUAAAAAAUUUCAAAAGUCAAGUAGAGAAGCUGACCCAACACUUGGCAUAAAAUCCAGCCCCGACACACUAUGAUGACGGUAGUGAGUCAAAUGUUAUUUUCGAUAACCUGUUUUAUGCACACUCUCUACAUCAGUAGCCUCAUGUUGGGGAGAGUAGAACGUAUGAUUUCAACAGCAAAGUUGAUCUACCUAAGUUUGACGAAGAACCAAUUGAUGGUGAAGAAAAAAUGAGUUUGGAUCUUCAAUUGGAAUCAUCAUUCCUUGAUGUCAUGUGUGACCUUAUUUUAUGAAAAGCAAAAUGAAAAGAAAGAAAUUAGCCUUGAGGCAGCAAUGAUGACUUUCUCAUCAAUGGAGAGGUGGAUAAACAAGAUAUCAAUCCAAACCCAUUUGAGAUUGAAUCUUUGCAGAUAUUUGACGAAGAAAAAGAUAAAGGCCACCAAGGAGAAUCACUAAGUGAAACUGGUUCAACCAUUGAAUAUGUUGUGUGUCUUCGAGGAUGAGCCUAAGCAGUUUCAACAAGUUUAUGUGGCUGAACAGACUUUAUCAACAUACAAUGACCUUUUCCUCGAUGGUUUCACAUUUUUAAUGCACAAUUGUUGCGUUAUGAUUAAUGCAAUAACCCUUAGGUCCUAAGAUCGUGCUUACAAUAUUGGAGUCAAAGAAGGUUGCAAGACUAAUACAAAUUUUAUCGUAGCAUAUUUUAUAAUUUGAUGACGAGUUCUCUCCAACAAGAGGAGAAUGAUGCAUAUUAAGAUCUGGUUGCUACGAAAUUUUAUUUUUAUUUUUAUUUUUUUUUAUUUUUGUUGAUAUUAUUUUUAGUGAUGUGGGAAGAUUUUUGGUUAUUUUUUUAGAAUUAUAUUUAUUUUAGAAGUUAAGGUUACAUUUUAUUUUCUUGGAAAAACUUCUUCAUAUAUAUAUAUAGCAAUGAUACUAUGAGACCCUCUCACACCCAUGUGAGUAAGACCCCAAAGGAUCACCGUUAAAUUUUGACACAGAUCUCUAGAAAAGUUAUCAAUAAACCUAUUCACCUAAGUUCCACAUCCAUAUCAUAACUUUUUUAGAAAUCUGUGUCAAAAUUUAAUGAUGAUCCUUUGGAGUCCUACUCACAUGGGUGUAAGAGGGUAUCAUAGUGUCAUUACNNNNNNNNNNNNNNNNNNNNAUAUAUUGUUAUGGUAUCUAGAAUUUUUAUUUCUAGUUUUAUUAGGGUUAAUUUGUUAGAGAUAAGACUAGUUUAGGAUUCUUUGGUUAGUUUGAUAAGUGUUUUAUUUAUGAGUCUAUUUGUUUUUUCUUUUGGAGGAUGAGUCAUUUUCACCUUGGUUUGACGAAUCCAUUUAUAUUUAAGAUUUUCACCUUGGUUUGAUGAAUCCAUUUAUAUUUAAGAGGUGUUCGUUCAAAAAGGAGUUAUCUUUUUUUCUUUUAGGUUUGGUUGGUUCAUACUUUUAAUUUUGGGUUAAGCUGUGUAGAAAGAUAAGGAUUGGAGGUGAGAAAACAAUGAUAAAAGGGGAUGGACAUCCAAUUGAAAUGACAGUUAUUUUUUUUGUAGAAUGAAAUAAGCUUAUUUUGGAGAGAGGGAGAGAGAGGAGUGGGUGUUUUUUUUUUGUGAUCUGGUGGUGUGUGGUAGAGGACUCAGACUCCCAUGUAUGUGUUUUCUUUUUGAAGAUCUCUUCUCUGUUUUUUAUUUCUCUCUAAAAUAUGGCUAUUUUGUCAGUUAUUGGCGAUCGAAAACUUUCAAUUGCAUAGCAUAUCAAUUUACAGUAAUUAUUAGUGGUUAAAAAACCUAGUGAGAAGACCAAAAUUUGGGCAUAGUGUGGGAAAACCCAAAAUUUAUAAAAUUCGUAAUUGGGAAAGAGAUGUAAGAAUUUGGUAUCUUUCUCUAUUGAUAUUGAGCUAUAUAUAACAAUAUACAGCUAGUAUAAAAAUAUACAACAAUAUCCCUUGAGUGUGGGGAUGAUGAAUAAUAAAUCUCUACAAACUAGAUGGUGGCCAAGUGAAUAUCUACCAACUAGGAAAGUAAAUAUGACCAAAUCAAUCUCUACAAACUAGAAAAGUCCUAAUGAAUCACUAUAAUUAGUAAAGUGAGCUAUACAAUCCUCAAUACUCCCCCUCAAGAUGGAUUGUGGAGGAACGAGGCACCCAGCUUGCGCAAUAAAGAAUGAAAUUGGUCCCGUCCAAGGGCCUCGGUGAAAAUAUCUGCAAGUUGAUGUUUGUUAGAGAGAUAAGAUGUUUUGAGAAGACCAUUUUGAAUUUUCUCUCGAACAAGGUGGCAGUCUAACUCUAUAUGUUUCGUCCUUUCAUGAAAGAAGGGAUUUGCUACAAUGUGUAGUGCUGCUUGGUUGUCACAAUAGAGGAGCAUGGGUUGCGAGUGUCGUAUACCUAGGUCAAGAAGAAGAUACUUGAGCCAAUUGAGCUCACAAGCAGCGGUAGCCAUGAAACGAUAUUUUGCUUCUAUAGAAGAACGUGAUAUGAUCUUUUGCUUCUUAGUGCACAUUAGAUAGGACUGUUGCUAAGAAAGUUACAUAUCCAGUGGUGAAAUAUCGGGUCAUCGAACAACUUGCCCAAUCGGAAUCACAAAACGUGGAUAGUUGCAGGUUGUUGUUAGAUGAAAGUAAAAUUCCUUGUGUGGGUAUAUGUUUUAAAUAAUGUAAAAUACGAUGAGCUGCUUCAAGAUGAGGUGUUUGUGGUUUGUGCAUGAACUGGCUCAAGAUGUGCACAACAUAAGUAAUGUCAGGCCAUGUAAUAGUAAAGUAUAUGAGUCGCCCCACCAGCCGACCAUAUUGGCUUGCAACCAAGGAAGCCAGUUUCAGACAAAAUGUCCAAGGCGUAUUUCCUCUAAGUGAGAAGGAUCCCUCAAGUUGAUAGUGCAACCUCAAUACCAAAAAAGUAUUUUAGCAAUCCAAGAUCUUUGAGACGAAACCGAGAUUGCAUAAAUACUUUCAAUGAGGAAAUGGCAUUGACAUCAUUGCUAGUGACAAUCACAUCAUCAACAUAAGCUAGAAUAGGUGUAAAAGAGUGAUCGACAUUGGAUGCGAACAGAGAAUUGUCCCCAAUGGAUUGUUUGAAUCUGAUAUCAUGGAGAGCUUGGGAAAAUUUGUCAAAUCAAUUUCGAAAGGCAUGUUUAAGGCCAUAUAGAGACUUCUGCAAUCAGCAAACUAGAUGCUCCCUCUUACAAGGAUGACCCUGUGGAAGUUUCAUGUAUACUUCAUCAUGCAAAUCCCUAUGCAAAAAUACAUUAUUGACAUCUAAUUGAUGCAAUUUCUAGCCCUUUACAGAGCCAUCUCAUAAUAACUAACUUUGCUACAGGAGUGAAUGUCUCAUGAUAAUCCAGCCCUUCCAUUUGGGUAAGCCCUUCGCGACAAGACGUGCUUUGUAGUGAUCGAUAGUGACGUCGGCCUUGUACAUAAUAUUGUACACCCAUUUACAGCCAAUGGGAUGUUUGUCGGCGGUAAGAAUUGAGCAAUCCAAGUGUUGUUGAGAUCAAGAGCCUUAAACUCAGCUUUCACGACAUCACGCUAGUGAGAGUGUUUGACAGUUUGUGCAUAACCUUGUGGUUCAUUAUUAAAACAAAUGUUUGUCAAAGAAACACGGUGAGAUGAAGAAAAGUUGGAAUCCAAAAUAAAAUGGGAGAUGGAAUAGGGUUUACCAGGAGAAAUAGUGCCUGAUGGAUGUUGUUUGAGUGAAGCCGUAUUGGUGAGAGACGAUUGUGUGUGAGCUUGGGAGCACAUGUAAUCAUUAAGAUGAGUUGGACACCAAAUGACACAUUUCGAACGACACACGGGGGUAAGCACAAGAAUGUGUGUAGCAGGUAUCAUGGUUGCAACUGGCAGCGAUGAAACUGGAAUAGGUGACUCAUGAGAAGGUGGCACCUCAAUAUCAGGAGUGGGUAGGUUUAAAGAUGGAACUUCAAAAGUGUCAUUGUCCACAACAGGCAUGGGAAAAACUGUGGGAAUGGUCUCAGGUUCCAUAUUCUUUUCUUGAAAAGGGAACACAUUUGCAUGAAUAUCACAUCUAGACUAGUGAAAAUUGUCUCCUUUUGCAAUUCAAAGACACAGUAGCCUUUCUAAUUAUGAGGAUAUCCAACAAAAACACAUUGCUUAGACCUAUGAUCAAAUGUGUGUUUAUGAAUAUCACUAUUAUGAGCAUAACAGAGGCACCCAAAAACAUGUAAGUGUUCAUAAGAUGGCUAAGUUUUAAACAAUACUUCAUAUGGAGAUUGCGAGACAAUAUGGGUGUGGGAAUUUGGUGAAUUUUGUUUAUCAAAAAACAUUCACCCCAAAAUUUAAUGGGAAGAUGGGCCUGAAAGCGCAAAGCACAUGCCACUUUAAGUAAGUGAUGGUGUUUGCGCUCAAUAAUGCCAUUCUGUUGGGGUAUAUGUAUGCAAGUUUGCUAGUGGAGGAUCCAACAUUCUUGAAAAAGCGUGAGACAAGAACUCAGCUCCAUUGUCAGUUCGAAUUUGUUGAAUACAACAAUUGAACUGGGUUUGUACCAUUUGCAAAAAAAAGCUUUAAAAAAUGGGAAGUAUCAGAUUUGAACCUCAUCAAGUAAACCCAUGUGCAUCGUGAACAGUUGUCUACAAUAGUCAAGAAAUAAUGUGCUCCUAAGUGGGAUGGAGUGCAGUAUCCAUCUCAUAUAUCACAGUGGAUUAAGUUAAAGUGGUCUUUAGAUUUAUUCAAACUAGAAGGAAAAGGAACUCUAGUUUGUUUUGCCCAAGUACAUGCUUUACAAAAAGAAAUAGAACAUAGAGAUAAGUUUAAAUUUGUAAAAUGCACACUACACAUUCAGUGCAGAGAAGGAUGCCCCAGCCUCUUAUACCAUAAUGCAGCAAAAUGACUCUGAAUAGUAGGCAAGGCAGUGAGAUUAUUAGGGAUACCAGAAACGAAGUGAUAUAAACCGUCUCGCACCUCACCAGCUCCAAUCAGCUUCCUCGUGCGCAGGUCCUAAAAGACACAAAAGUAAUAAAAAAAAAAAUAGCAGCACAAUUCAUGGAACUAGUUAAUUUGCUUACUAAGAGAAGAUUGUAAUUGAAAGUUGGAACGCAAAAAACAUUAUCUGGGCUAAUAGUUGGACUCAAGUUGGAUUGACCUACAUGAGUAAUGGAAGUAGUACUACCAUUAGGCAUACGAACAAGUUUACCAUUAUGAUUUGAAACACAAGUUGAUAGCCUAGAAGUGGAACAAGUAAAGUGGUUAGCUACUCCAAAAUCAAUGAUCUAUGAGUCCUCAUUGUUUUUUGGAAUGAAGAGACAAACUCCAUACCUACAAAGUAGGUUGGAUUUCGACAUUCAGUAUGGACAUCAACUGUCAAUAUUGGCUUGGUGUUAAGGAAAGAAAGUUCUUUUUGGAUGAACCCGGGACAGCUGCACCAUUGCUUAUGAACUCUACGCCUGAACUAGUGUUGAUGUUAUGCUGGCCAUGGUUAGCUGAUUGCACGAGUGAGUUGUGAGCAUGUGGUUGAUCCUUAGCCUUGGGAUGUCUAGCAGGAUACCCCACUAAUUGGUAACACUUUGCUUUGAUGUGGCCUUCGCGAUCAUAAUGCUCACAAAAUAGACGCAACUUCUUUCCUCUAUAGCGCCAUCUCUUCUCCAAAUUUUAAUGAGCUGCAAGAGCAGAUGCUUCUCCUUACAAGGGUUGACAAAUUUGCAAACCCCUUUUUGUUGUUCUUAUUGCGGGACUAUGGAGUAAACUUUGUUGAUAUUAGGAAGAGGGUCCAUAGCCAAGAUUUGACUACGAACAAUCUCAAAAAAAUCACUCAGUCCUCAUUAGGAACUGGCACACUCGUUCAAUUUGUUGUUGGGCAUAGUUCUCCUUAAAUGAUCCACAAGUGCACACAGGAACUUUCACAUACGAGGCUAGUUCGUCCCAUAUGGCCUCAUAGAAGUAAAGUAAGAGGCCACUAAGGACUGCCAUUGUUGGAUUGUAGAGAGCUUCCUCUUGAGAAUAUAGAUCUUUGGACCACUUCCUUGAGAAACCUGUCGUCGAGAUCUAUUCAAAUUUCAUAUGCAGUGUCCACAUAUGCAACACUAUCUACAAGAUCUUUGGAUUGUACAUUGAGUAACCACGAAACCACCAUGUGGUUGCAUCUCUCCCAAGUCUUAACAUCAGUAAGUAGUUUAGAUGGUUUGGAAAAUGAACCAUCCACAAAGCACAAUUUAUAUUUUGCUCCAAGAACCACAGUAAUAGCUCUUCUCCACGUUUUGUAGUUGUCUCCAAAAAGAGGUUUGGAGACAAAUAUAACUCCAGUUUUGUCAGAGUGAUGGAGAUAAUAAGGAGAAGAGAAAUCAAAAGCAAAAGCAUUGCUACUUUCAAGUGAAAACUGAGACUCGAUACCUGAUUGCGAGUUUGCAUCGUUUCCAUUGUGUCAAGGCUUGAAAGUGAAGAAGAGAUAUGACAAACAGGUUUAUUGUGGACUUUACUGCUCGGAUACCAUGUAAAAUUCGUAUUUGGGAAAGAGAUGUGAGAAUUUGGUAUCUUUCUCUAUUGAUAUUGAGCUAUAUAUAAUAAUAUACCGCUGGUAUAAAAAUAUACAGCAAUAUCUCUUGAUUGUGGGGAUGAUGAAUAAUAAAUCUCUAUAAACUAGAAUGUUACAAAUAUGGCCAAGUGAAUCUUUACCAACUAAGAAAGUACCUCUGGCUAAAUCAAUCUCUACAAACUAGAAAAUUUCAAGUGAAUCUCUACAAUUAAGAAAGGGAGUUAUACAAUCCUCAAUAAAAUUAGAGCACCUUUUGGGUCUUUGAAAGCCCAAAAUUAGGGUACCGUUUGGAUCUUCAAAAAAACCCAAAAUUAGGGCAUAGUUGCACAUGACUUAGGAGUUAGAAAGAGAGAGAGGGUGAGUACCUAUAAUUUCCUGCAGGGCUGAGAAGACCUUGGCUCGAAGGUGGCGAGUGCAUACGAUAAAAGUGUAAAACUCUAUAAGACGUUUUAAUUUUGAACUUGAAGUUAAAACCUUUUAGUUUUUUACCAUAUAAGAGAAAAAAAUAUAUCAUUUUUCCCCUUGGGAGAGAAAGAAUUUCAUUUUUCCCCUUGAGAGAGGAAAAAUUUCAUUUUUCCCCUUGAGAGAGAAAAAUUUUCAUUUUUGACCUCGAAGUCUUUAGCUGAAACGCUAUUUUUCGGCCGAAACAAGCUGAAGUGAGCCGAAUUUAGCCAAAAUGUUUUUUUAUUCAUUUCGCAUCAGUUCCAAGUGAAAAAUCAAAAGCUUUGGUUCUCCAGCCGAAACAAAGUACAAGUGAAAAAUCAAAAGCUUUGGCUCCGGCCAAGCAAAGUACAAGUGAAAAAUCAAAAGCUUUGGCUCUCCGGCCGAAACAAAGUACAAGUGAAAAAUCAAAAGAUUUGGCUCUCGGCCUAAACAAAGUACAUUUGAUACACUGUUUGUAAAAUCGAACCGAAACGGUAACAGAUCAAGGGGUUGGGAGCGGUUGGAAUCGGAACAAGACUAAUCGGGGCGGUUAACUGGAUUAACUAGUCAAGUAGAUUUUUAUAAAUUAAAAAAAAAAAAUAGGUCAAAAACCUCCAAAAAAUUGAAAAAAAAAAAAAACUUAGAUUAAGUGUAUACUAUCAUAUUACAUACAUUUAUCUUAUAAAAAAAAUUGAAACAACUUUUUAUAUAAAUUAAUAUUUGAAUACUAUGGAGAUAUGCAAGACAAUUUAUAAUUUGACAUUAUUUCAAUUAAUGAUGUUACAAAGUCCAAAUAACAAUGGCUACUAGUAAUGAGAGUGGCAAAGGAGAUCAUGGUACACAUUUCUUUAUUACAAAAAUUGCACCGAACUCGUCUCUUAUCACUCACUUUUAUGCCAUACUGCCACGUCAUAUCCCCCCUCCUCAUCUUAUUAUUUUCUUGAACAUAAAAUUUCAUUAAAAAAUUUAUUUGAGACAUUUUUGCCUCAAUGUUUUACCCAAGCAAGGUGCUCUUUGCAUUUUCGAUGACCCCAAAAUGAAAUAAAGCAUUACAAAUUUAUCCAUCCCUCUGUGCAUAAUGCAACUCAAGGUAAUUAAGCAUACAAGCAAACACACAAUAAAUAAAUAAAUAAAUGAAGUACAAACAAAAUUUUGUUUUUUAAAUUAAAAUAUUUGCAACAAAGAUUUAUAUCUACUUCUUUAUGGGUCAUAGAAGACAAUAAUAAAAGAAAAAGUAAAUUGAUGCAAUAAUAUAUGCUUCCAUACUAUUUUAAUGUUGUUUUAAUGUUGAUGUUGAAAGAAGUUGUUUUAAUGUUGAAAAACCCUUUAAUACAGUUUAGAAUUAGAUUUGAGAGCAUAUUUUCUAAUAGCAUAAUGUUCCCAGUUUUUCAAAGGGUUGUGAGUCAAGGCAGUAAGAGAGAACACCUCGUUGACUCAAUAACUUGGUUAUCAAAUGCAGGGUGUGGGUCAAGGUGUUAAGUACUGCUUCAAAUGGCUAAAUUCUAUAUUUUAAAAAAAUAUGACCAAAUCGAUUUGCAAAUGGCCAAAUCUCAAAUGGUCAAACCUCAUUUACUCAAUAACCUUUUGAGUUGCGUUUUAACAUGAAAAAAUAAUAAUUAUAUAAGAUAGCAACAUUAAAAUGUAGAAUUAAGAUGCAUAUUUAAAAAAAAAUAGGUUAACUUUUUAUCCAUUUCAGCACGUGGAAACAUGAGAGAUGAGUAAAACACUUUUUAGUUUCUACCUCUUUUCUUCAUAGAGGCUGAUAAAUAGAUUUCAGGAGUAUGAAGUUGCAACAAAUGAUAGAUAACUUGAAAUAAAUAAAAAAAUAAAUUAGAAUAAAAUGUCACAACCAAACAAGAAGUUGAGAACAUAGACAGCAGAUACACCAACAAUUAGUUAUCAAAUUUUUCAUCAAAACGAAAAAAUCGACAAUAAUCCCAUAAACCAACAAUACAUGAACAAAAAAAUAAGAUUGAGGAGCAAAAAAAAUGAUGCACAGUUAUAGGAAUGAGGUGCAAUGAGACCUUGAAUCGAUGGGAAUUAAGGAGCAAAACAAAAUCAUUAUACAAACAAAAAAAUUAAUAAAUAAAUAGUUAGAGAAAAAGAAUGGAGCACUAUUGAUCAAUCAUGAAAAAGAAAAGCAAAGUUAGCCAUUGAUAGAUUAUUCCCCUAAAUGAUCAUGACCAUGAAUCAAUAAAUAGCCUUCAUAACUAGAAAAUAAUCACCUCGGCAAUAAAGAUAUUCAGGAUAUGCACCUUUUUCCACAAAAGGUUUGCCUUUUGUAGACAUUACAACUUAAAAAUGUAAAAUUAAGAUGAAAAAUUUAUAUAAGAUUGCAAUUUUAACAUGAAAAAUAUUCUUUUAUAAAAAAAAAUAUAACAUUAAAAACAAUCCAACAAACUCACCAAAAAUAUAUAACAUUAAAAAGAAAGAAAUGUUUUUUUCUCAUAUUCAUCACAAAAAAACAUAUUUUUGUAAAAAUAUAAAGAGCACAACAUGAAAAACAAUCUAUCAAGCUCACCAAAAAUAUAUAAAAUUAAAAUGAAAGAAUUUUUUUUUCUCAUAAUCAUCACAAAAAAAACAAAGUUUUAUAAAAAAAAAUCUAACAUUAAAAACAAUCCAAGAAGCUCAUAAAAAAUAUAUAACAUUAAAAAGAAAGAAAUAAUUUUUUCUCGCAUCUAUCACACAAAAAAAAUAUUUUUGUAAAAAAAAAAAUAACAUUAAAAAUAAUCCAACAGGCUCAUCAAAUAUAUAUAAAAUUAAAAGAAAGAAUAAUUUUUUUUUUCAAUUAUUCAACACAAAUAACAUAUUUUUUAUAAAAACAAAAUGUAAUUUUAUUUAAAAAAACAAUUUUUUUUUAAGAACCCUAAAAUCGAGCCAAAGAACACAUAAACUUUAGAGUCAAAAUCAACCCCAAAUCUUUCAUUGUUUGAACAAAUUGACAUGGGGAUAUGAUAAAUACUUCAAUUAAGAUUCAAAUGCCCCAUAUUUCAUGAAAAUCCAUUCACUAUUGAAAUUGUUCUUCAAAAAAUGAUGGAUAUUUCACUUCACGAAAUUUUCAAAACAAAAACGCAGCAAAAAAAAUUCAUAUAAAUAAAUUUACUCAAUGAUAAAUCAAAAUACCUAAUUUAUUAUGUUGAUGAAGCCUUUAUGAUCAAACUUCACUGAUAACUUCGAAAACAAACGAUCAAUGCAUGGAUCAAAAAUCAAUUUUUUUUCAUCGAAUACAGUUCUUCACUGCUACUCACUUUUGGCCGAAAUCAACCUCAAAUAUUCAUCUUUUUCGACAAAUCGAAACAGGGAAUAGUUUAAGCCUUCAAUAAUGCAUCAAAGCCCUCCAUUUUCAUGCAUAUUCAUGGGGUAUUGAAGCUCAGAUUGAUAAAAUGGCGGAAAUUUCACAAUUUCAUAAAUCCGCCAUUUUCAAUCCACAGAAAAUCGUUCUUCUGCGAUUUUGAUUCAAUAAACAGUUAUUUAUAGAAAAUUUCAGGUGUAUAAGUGCAAUAAUUGAUCGACACAAACAAAAAAAAGUAAGAAAUUGGAAUAAAAAAAAGCUACAAAAUUCGAGUCACAGUUUCUGUUACAAAUAAUGCCCGUUGUGUCAAAUGACGGCCGUUAUUUCAUAUUAUACCAUUUUGUACGUUAUUUCAGGUGUUAUAUCGUUAAACCUGACCCGUUUGAAUAAACUGGUUGGUUUUGAAUGAAAACGGCCGAUUCGACCAUAAGCCGGCCGGUUUUGGUGCCGAAAUAUUUUGGAGAGACCGAGGUAUCUAUUAGUACCACAAAACCGACUUUAACCAGAGUCGGUACCUUGCCGGUACCAAUCUAACCGUCGGGUUCCGGUUCGAACCGGCAGGUUUUGUGAUGACAACAGUGGUCCAAAUACAGUGAGGUACAUGACCCUGAAAUUAAAAAAAACAAAAAAAGAGAAAAAAAGAGGGUGACGCCCAUUACAUCAUUGAUUAGACAGUGAUGGGGAUUAUUUGCUUUUCUCUAUUUCAUAGUCAAAAAAAAAUUUGGACACAUUGGAGUCUACCCCACUUGAAAACCUUGCAUGUGCAUCAUGCCAUCUGAUGAUUAUUCUGAGCCAUGGAUAACUGCUCGUUCUGACGUUCUUUAAUUCUACUCUCUCUCUUCUCAUCACGUCGUUUCCGACGUUUGAUUCUCUUCGUCCUCGUAUUUCUGACCUUUUUUUUUUCCAAAUUUUCUCCAAUACAUAUUCUCAUAUUAUUUUGGUCAAUUUUAACUUCUUUUGUCCUUUUUGGUCGGGUUCUUCACAUUUGAGCCGGUCGUUGUUUUUCUUUUUUUUUUGAAAAUUAACCGUGAAUUUUAAAGGGAGAUACAAGGAAAGUUACAGGAACGAUGAGAUCAUGAAGAUGAUCGGUGCACUCCGCUUUUUUAAAACAUCAGCCUCAAAAUUAUCCUCUAUAACAAUACGCAAUAUCAAAAGAAAAAAAAAUAUAUAUGAAUUUCAUCAAACAGACCCCUUGGUCUUUAUAGUUGGUCGAUGUUAUAUUAAUGGCAUUCAUUAUUACUGUAGAAGGAGAUGUACAUGCUAAGAAGAGCAAGCAACUAACUCACAUCCUGAUGAAUGAGAGGCUAAUCA